rnacentral:lncRNA from 1 species
CUGAAAUGUUGUUAUUGCCAAGGUCCAAGAUCCGAAGAGAUUGAAGUUGACAAAUUUUUUGAGGAAUGUGUCCGUCAAAGUUAUUUGAUCGAAGGCUUAGAAUCUCAUGUUUUGAGAGUUUGUCCCCAAUCCAUGUUGGUACACUCCCACUGAAAUGAUUGUCACUGAGAUCAAGUAUAAUCAAACUCGUAGAAAGUUGCAACGUAGAUGGUAAUUCUCCAAACAUGUCAUUGUUACGAAGGUUUAGCACGGAAAGAUUCAAAUGUCCCAAAGAAGGUGGGAUUUUCCCAGUCAAAUUGUUGUUUUCCAAAUUUAAGUAAACCAAACCUCGCCAAUGAUUCCAGCGAUCAGGGAUUUCUCCAGAGAGAAGAUUUCCUUUAAUGGAAAGACAUUCCAUCGGCCCCUUUCUUAAUGGAUUACAAACUAAUUCAAAAAGUGGACCUGAAAAUGAAUUAUGUGACAACAUUAAAAAUUUUAAAGUUGGGAAUACUCUUGGCAAUGGGCCUGUGAAUCGGUUUGAUGCCAAGUCAACAAAUUCUCUCACGUUCAAAUGUGAAAUCCCUCCCGUAAGUUGAUUAUAUGAAAGAUUUAAAUAUUCAAAUUGAGUGGACAAGUUCAAAAACCAAGUGGGCAAGAUAUCCGAAAUUCCUGCAUCGGACAUAUCUAAAACAGAUAAAUUUUUUUGGAAUUUUAACCAUCGGGGAAACUUCGGGCCAAGAUGCCAUUGACCCAGUUUGAUAAUUCGACAUUGAAACGGGAGAAUCCAGCUUGAGUUUGGUUGAAAUCUGAGCCUGUUCUGUGAUGCCGCUAGAGUUGUCAAUCUCGUGAGAUUAGAAAAAUGGGUUUCUGAUACAACUCCUUCCAAUUGGUUACACCCCAAAUCCAGAGUUUCCAAACUUUUCAGUUGUCCAAAACAUUGAGGAAAAGUACCAUUUAAUUGAUUUUCUGAAACAUCAAAGAACUUCAAAGAUGAUAACUCCCCUAUGGACAAUGGAAUGGGACCAGAAAUAUUGUUUCCAGCAAGCGACAAGUGAGCUAGGUUUUUAAAGUGCCCAAGUUGAUCAAUUAAAUGGCCAAAAAGAUGGUUAUGUGCCAUAUCCAAUGACUCUAAGCAAUCCAAACAACAUCUAGACAGACUCAGAAGUAUUUCUGAUACGUCUUGAUCAAUUUCAUUGCUCGAAAGAUUAAGGAAUUGAAGAUGAUUUAAACUAAACAAAGAGUUGGGUGUGGAUGAAUUGAGUGAGUUCCCACUAAGAUCAAGAACUUCAAGAAAUGAGAUGUUCCUAAAGUAAUCCGGAAUUGGGCCUUCCAAAGAAUUGCUACUAAGAUCAAUGGACAGAAGACCUUGAAGACCAAAUAUGGACGUAGGUACUGAAGAAAAGCUGUUCUCAGAAAGAUCAAGAACAACAAGUGAUUUUGUAGAAUUGACAUUGAUCGGGGAUGGAUCAUCUUCCAAACUGCAAGCUGACAAGUGCAACUCUAACAAUGAAGGGUGUUGGAAUGUUACCAGUAGCCAAUCAGUUGCUUUACGAAGAUCCGCAUAACUCAAAUCAAGGUACUGCAAGAAAGAAAGUCCAGAAACCCAUUGAAGACUUUUUGGUUUGAGAUAAUUACCUCCAAGAUCAAGAUACUGCAACUUUGAGAGAUUCCCAAGGUUAUGAGGAAUUCCUCCCUGGAAUUGUGCAUGAGAGAGGUUAAGAUAUGUUAAACUCCCCAGCCUACCCAAAAAUUUCGGGAUGUUGCUACGAAAAUUGUUAUUGCUCAAGUCCAGGGAACUGAGAUGCUUCAACUCCAGCAAUGAAGAAUUUAUUUUCCCUCUUAGCGAGGAAUUGUUCUUUGAUCGAUGGUAAGCUUCCCAUUCAGUAACUGGUGCAUCAAAAUGGGGCACUGAAAGAGGAGCAGCCAAGUGCAGUUGGUUGAUAUGGCCUGUUGAGUUAUGGCACACGACACCGAGCCAUUUACAGCAAUCCCCACCUUCGACCCAAGAAGCAAACCUGUUUGAAGGGUCAACGAGAUCAUUCUUGAACUUCAGAAGGGCAUUUCUCUCACUUUCAAUGCAAAGCACAUUGGAAUUGGCAUCACAAAAGCUAAAACAGAUAGCUACAAUGGCAAGAAGAAAUGGGAAUAAGGUAAUUGCAACACUUUCCAUGGUUGCGAUGGUACCAACCAUUGCUUGCAACUCCAAAUAUAUAGAGUAAGCUUAGCCAAAACAAAAAUAUUGUGCACAUAAAUGAAGCACAAAGAAGUUUCUUCCAAAUUUCCACAAAAUGUAUUUAAUUGAUAAUAGUCUAUCAGAAAUUUCCAGUAAUUUAACAUUAUUUUAUUUUACAUCUCACAUCAAUACAUAAUUUAACAAAAUUAUAGUCAGUAAUUGCUUUGAAAGUUGUACAGCAAUGGAAGAGAUCGAUGGGUUUGACUUUGGAGAUAGGAAGGAAAUUUCUUUUUUGACCCAAGCAAAAAAUAAAUGGAAUUUAUGUUCAAUUGCUAUAUAAUUAUAUAAUACACGUGUUGAUAAAUAAUUGGAGAGGCACAAUAAGAGACAAAAGGAUUGAGGAAUUUGCUGACUUUAGGGCUCUUACUUACUAUCCUUUUAUUAAUAAAAUUUUAUUUUGGCUUAGAAAAAAAUAGGAUCGAAAGUUUGUAAAUAUACAUUUUCACACACUUGAAUAUAUAGAAAUAUCGAAAAAUAUGUAAAAAAUAAAAAUUAAUAAGAGUUAUAAAAUUUAUUAAAUUUUAAUAAAAUAAUAUAAAAACAUUUAAAAUUAGAAAAAAGUUAUAAAAAGCAUAAAAAUUAUAAAAAAUUGUAAAAAUUAUAAAAAUUAUAAAAUAUAUAGAAAUAUAGAAAAAAAUUAUAAAUUUUCAUAAAUUCAAUAAGAAAAUUAUGAAAAAAAUGUAAAGAAAUAUAAAAUUCAUUAAAAAAUUAUUGUACCACAAGAAACAUUUUAUAAUUUUUCUAUAACUUUUUAUUAUUUUUUAUUUUUUUAUCAUUUUUCGUCAUAUGUCACGUUGUGUUGCUAUACUGAUGGCUUUAAUUGAAAAAAAUCGGGGAUCAUUAACUUUAAUGGUCAACAGUUAAAACUAAUGGUUAAAGGACCUUUUUUAUGAUUUUUAUAAAAUUUUACAAUUUCUUUUAUGAUUUUUAUAUUUUUUUUUUCUAAUUUUUAAUAAAUUUAUGGUUUCUAGUUACUGUUAAAGUUAAUUGUUUCUAGUCUUGCUUCCUUGCAUAACCUCGAUUUGAGUUAUGCGGAUCUUCGUAAAGCAAUUGACUGGCUACAGGUAACAUUCAAACAUCCUUCAUUUUUAGAGUUGCACUUGUCAGCUUGCCGUUUGGAAGAUGAUCCACCCCCUAUCAGUGUUAAUUCUACAAAAUCACUAGUUGUUCUUGAUCUUUCUAGGAACCAAUUAUCUUCAUUACGCAAGUCGAUAUUUUGCCUCCAUGGUCUUGUGUCCAUUGUUCUUGAAUUGGUAGGCCCAAUUCUUAUUUUAGAAAGUACAUCCUAGAACUCCUCUAUUUUUCUGACUUGGAAUUGUAUUUUUACUAGAUUUUGGGCUGCGUCUUGCUGUGGCUUUUUCUAAACAUAUUUGAAACAGAAACAUAUAAAUAUGAAUGGUGGUUGAAAUUGAAAGAAAUUUAUGCAAUGAUAAGUGCAAAAGUAAGUACUUAAGUAGAAUAAAUUAGGAUUUAUUUAUUUAUGACACUCAUAGCAUAUCAUACAUUAACCCUGAAUGGAUGAUGAACUGCAUAUGCGUGAAUUAUAUACUUCGAUGUAAGUAAAAUCUUGAAUUUUAAUAGAUAAGCAACUAAAAGUUGAUGAGUUGGGUAUACAACUUUUGCAUGAUGUAACAUCAUUCCACAAUAGUAGAUUUUAUAGCCCAAAAAUGAUAUCCUCUCAUCGACACUACAUGAUAGAUGAAAAGUAACAUGGUCACGAGUCAUUUGCCUUAGUAACAAAUUAAAUGCAUUAAUUACUAUUUGUUAGUAAUUGUCUUUUCAUGAAAGAAGAUGAAAUAAUUACAAUGAGAUAAAAUAUGAUCAUAUUAGAGGAAUGAAUUUAUACUAAAAAGAUUAAGCAUAUCCUACGAGGGUAAAAUACUUAUAACUAGGUUAUUAGACCAUACUUAACGAGUAGCUUUCGUAAUGAUAUAAUAAUGAAUAACUCAAUCAUGAUAUUUUAGUGAAAUACUUUAUGACUAAAUAAUAUUGUAAUUAAUAGGCGAAGUGCUGGAAGAUCAAGUUGAAGCUCUUGAGAUUAGAGUUGACAAUCAGUCAACUGUUGCCAUAGCAAAAAAUCCAGUACUUCAUGGCAAAACCAAGCAUUUUAAGAUUAAAUUUCAUUUUGUUAGAGAGGUUGAACAAUCAAAUUAAGGAAGUUAAUUUGAUUCAUUGCAGCUCAAAAAAUCAGCUCUGAUAUUUUAACUAAGUCUCUCGGUGAUACAAGAUUUGAAAACUUAAGAAAAAGUAUUGGUGUUUGUUGCAUACAGUCCAAGGAGGAGUGUUGAACUUUGGCCUGCAAUGCAACAGCAGAGAAGCAUUGAAGCUCAACCAGUACAGCAGCAACAUUUUGUACAUAUGUAACUAGCUUUAUUUCUUUUGUAAUUUGUCUUUAAAGUUAGUAAGAUUAGUUGCUGAUUUGAAUGAUGUUCAAUAUGAUGUAAUAGCUGAUAUGUCAGCUAGAUUUUGUGUGUAGUUUAAGCUAUGUUUUAGUCAAGUAAUUAGUGGAAGCAGGUAACUGCCUUGUAACAUAUAUGUUUCAACUUAAUAAAAAUACGUGUGAUCAGUUUUUUAGUCGUCUUCUUGUUCAAAUUUCUUUUCAUCCGUUUCUUUGCUUUUUUUCUCCUUUAUUUUUCUGUUAAUACACCAACAAAGAUCAAUGGACACAAGACCCUGAAGACCAAAUAUCGACAUAGGUACUGAAGAAAAGUUGUUCUCAGAGAGACCAAGAACAACCCGUGAUUUUGUAGAAUUGACACCCAUCGGGGAUGGAUCAUCUUCCAAACUGCAAGCUGACAAUUGCAACUCUAACAAUGAAGGAUGUUUGAAUGCUACCUGUAGCCAAUCAGUGGCUUUACGAAGAUCCGCAUAACUCAAAUCAAGGUAAUGCAAGGAAGAAAGUCUAGAAAUCUAUUCAAGACUUGUAGCUUCGAUAUCCUACCAGUUAUUACUUCGAAGAUCAAGAUACUGCAACUUUGAAAGAUUCCCCAGGUUAUGAGGAAUUGCUCCCUGGAAUUGCUCUCGAGAGAGGUUAAGAUAUGUUAAACUUCCCAACAAACCGAAAAAUUUUGGGAUCUGUAUGCUGCUGAAAUUGUUAUUGCUGAAGUCCAGGGAACCGAGAUGCUUCAACUCCAGCAGUGAAGGAUUUAUUUUGCCUCGUAGUUUUGACCGCUCGUAAGCUUCCCAUUCAGCUGGUGGUGCAUCAAAAUCAGGGGCUGAAAGAGCAGCAGCAGCCAAGUGCAGUUGGUUAACGUGGCCUGUUGAGUUAUGGCAGACGACACCGAUCCAUUUACAGAAAUCUCCACCUUCAACCCAUGAAGAUAGCUUGUUUGAAGGAUCAAUGAGAUCAUUCUUCAACUUCAAAAGACCUUCUCCCUCACUUUUAAUGCAAAGCACGUUGGAGUUGGCAUGACAAAAGCUAAAACAGAUGGCUGCAACAACAAAAAGAAAUGGGAAUAAGGAAAUUGAAACAGGAGUUGUCAUAGUUGCAAUUGCUUAGUACCGACCAUUGCUAUCAACUCCGAAUAUAUAGAUCAGUAAGCUUUAGCUAAAACAAGAAAUGCAUUUAAGUGAUAAUAGUCUAUCGGAAGUUUCCUUUCACUGGAAGUAAGGCGAAACAGAAAAAUAUUGUCCAUCGGGCACAUGGAACUUUCUUCCAAGGUCCAAAGUUUCCAAAGUUGAAUUUUCUACACGAAGCUUUUAUAGUCUUUUGAAUUUCUUGUUAUACAACUCAGAUUCGAAGUUAAGCUAUUCCCAAAGAAGGUAAACACCCUACCAAUAAACUACCGCUUGAGAUUCAAUCUGUUAAUUAUUUCUUUGCAUUAAAAUUUUGGCCAGCUCAUGUUUUAACAAUAUAUAUUUAAAUCUAUUUAUUAAAAUGUAAUUAAGCUAUUUAACAUAAAUUUUGCAGGUUUGUUAAAGCAAUGGUGGCUUACCUGCGCCGCUUCUUUUCUUUGGUUCAUUUGGUUGGCUCGCAACGAGCUCGUGUUCAAUAAGAAGAGAUUAUCGAUUGAUGAAAUUAUGUUUCUUGCUAAUCUUCACUCUUUUUAUUGGGUAAAAACAUCCAAGGAAGGGUGUGUUGUGAUUGAAUCCCAAUGGUGGCCGAAUCCAAGAUGUGUUGUGAUUGAAUCCCAAUGGUGGUCGAAUCCAAGAUUGUGUGUGCCGUGUUCGAAGGGGUUGGGACCUAGAUUGGGGAUUGUAUGGCAUGCUCCUCCUUGUGGCGUUAUCAAGUUUACCGUCGAUGGAGCAGCGCGUGGAAAAUCGGGGCCUGCUUGUUGUGGAGGGGUUCUAUACGUGAUCACAGUGGUAAGAUUUUAGUAAUUUUUUCAGGGCUUUUGUGUAUUUUGGAGUCGAAAGAAGCUGAAUUGAGGCCAAUUAUAUUGGCUCUUGAAAAUGCACAAAAAACUCAUUGUGGAAUCAGAUUCUAAGGUGGUGAUUUUGUGGUGUACAAGUACUAAAAGAGACCAUGCAAAUAUUGAGAUUGUUUUAAAUUGAUAGAAAAAUUUUGUACGAGUUUGAAUGUAAUUGUUUUUUGCAUGUUUUUAGGGAGGCUAAUAGUUGAGCGAAUGCGCUAGUUAAAGGAGGUGUCGAUAGAUAAUCAAUUGUUCCGUGUGUUUGCACUUACUAGUGUUAAUAAAAUUGAUUUUGCUAAUCAAAAAAGAGAAAGAGAGAAAGUAGGAUUCGAGAGAAAAACAAUAUAUCUAAGCUUAAAAAUGAGCCAAGGAGAAUUUUUCGCAAACAUUCUUUCUUGGUUGGUAGCUACAUUACUGGAGCUAAUUCAAAGGCAUUAAAGGUGCUAAAUCAAAAGGAAGUAUAUGUUGUGACAAGGAAGAAAAAGGGAUAAAGAUAGCCUUCCUUAUGCGUAGGUCUGAGGCAUUAGCUAUCUUUUCUUCAACCCCAAACUUGUUGAAGGUGUGGGAUCGUUGUUCCACCUGUAGUUCCUUCCCUUUCUUCGCCAAUUCCUCCUCCUUCCGGUCUAGAGUUUCUUGGGCUAAAUCUCGCUCAGUUGUGUACUUUUCAGCCUGAUCGCAUAGGUAAUCCAAUAUAUAGAUAGCAUGGUACCGACCAUUGCUAGCAACUGGGAAUAUAUAAAGUUAGCCGAAACAAGAAAAUAUUGUUCACAUACAUUGGACCCAUAUUUCCAGAAAAGAAAAAGGCAUUUAAUUGAUAGGCUGAUGGAAAUUUCGUUUCAAGACAAGUUUCUAAUUAAUUGCAUUUAAAAUUUGGGGCCACAUAUUUUGACUAUAUACACCUUACCCUGUUUAGUAUUUAUGAAAAGAACAAAAAACAUAAAACCAUCAAAGGAAAAAACUCAUAUUAACAAUUAAAUAUAUAAAAUCACAGAUGUAAUAUGAAUUUCAAUUGAAGAAAUAAUCUCCAUUUUCAUUUUAAACUUUUCCAACAAAAAUCGAGCUUUCAAACAGGGGUGAUGGCAGAUCAAUUUUUUAGGGGUACCAGAUGAAAUUUUAAUUUUUUAUAGUCUAUAUCUUUAUAAUUUUUAAAGAAUUAAAUAGAAUUUUUAUAAUUUUAAGGGGGCCAAAGUAUAGUUUUACAUUUACUAAUUUAAAUUUUUUUAAAAAAUUUAAAGGCUUAAAUAGAAAUUUUACAUUUUAGGGGGGUCGGGGCCACUGCCAGCCCCCCCUAGAUUCGCCAUUGCUUCCGAAGAAGAAGAGAAAUAAAGUUGAGAGCCAAUUUGGAAAGGAAAAAGAUUUAAUAGAAAAUUUUUAAUAUGAUUUUUUAAAUUUAAAAAGUAUAAGGACUUAUUUCCUAAAUAUACAAAUUUAGAACAUUUUAACCUACAAAUUUUAACAUUAUACUUUGACCUAAAAACUAAUCAAUCCAAUGUAAAACAUGAAUAGAAAACCAUACUACUAAUAAAGUAGUCUUCUAAUACAGCCAAUCAUUUUCUGUUUUCUCUUUAUAAUUUUAUUUUUAAAAAUAAAUAAUUGUAAAAAAUGACUUACAAAUUCUUCAAAGUAGAGUGUUGUAAUAAAGCCAACAAUUUACUCUUAUUUUUUAUUUUUAGAGUUAAGAUUAAAGUUUACUUUAAUGGAAUCGGAUUCAAAUGAAGACUUAGUACAGGAACCAAGGUGAAGGGUUUGAUGGAAGUUAAAUUAUUGGAUCAAAACAGAUGGUUUGACCUGAAGUUUUUUUGGGAAUUUCAGUGAAUAGUGAAAGAUUCAAGCUUUCACAACAAAGAAAAAUAUAACAGCUCUGGGUUCUUAUUAGCUUAUCCUUCUAACAGGAUGACAAGUUAAAAGGGUAGUCCAAAGCUACCCUAUAAAAUAUAUCUUCGUUAGGUAAGUGACAGAACGUUGGUAUAGAAUAUAAUAAACAUUCAUCAUUUAGGAUAUAGGAUCUAUUUAAAAUUUAAGAAUAUUAUAGUAUAUUUCAAUUUUAUUAUUUUUAAAUUUUGUAAAAUUAGGUUAACAAGUGCCCAAGGUUGUCACCGCUGUAUAAGGGACAUGAACCUCUUUCAGAGCAUGGUGCAUAAGGUGAAUACCAGACUGAUGCAAUAUCCAUAUUUCAUAAAUAAUUCCAAGAAUUAAUUCAAAACAAGACCUCUAUGGUUUAAGAAUAAAUUCAAAUUAACUAAGUCAUUCGUUGCAUAUUGGGGUAGUCCAAAAUCAAAGUGAUAUGGGGUAACAUAAAUCUAAGAUAAUGAAUAGAUGAGGGAAAAAAUUGUUUUGGAUUAAUUAUAGAGAGUUCCCUAAGUUUUCAUCAGAAGUCAAAAGAAAGUGUCAUGUGUCAUGUGUCAUUAUUCAAUUGGCUAAUAUGUCACAUAAACAAUCCAUUAGUGGAUUAAUGAAAUUUUUAACGGUAAUGACUAAUUCGAACAAUUAUUUUAAUUAGAGUGACUAAAUUGAGAAAAAAAUUUAAAGUGAUCAAAGUAGGACAAACCCUAUUUUAGAAUGACCUUAGGUGUAGUUUACCUUAAUAAUUUUAUGUAUGUAUAAAAUUACUAAUUUUGUUUUGAGAGAAAAGAAAUUCAUUUAUGAGAAAGUAACAAAAUAAAAGCGAACACAAAGAGGAGAGAGACUACUAAGCCCGAGCCAAUAGGCUCACCCCAUACACCCAAACCUAUUGUCCGCAAUCCUCAUUCAUAUCAACAUAAGACAUAAUUUCAACAUUCUUCAAAAUAGAUACAAGCGGAAAAGCAUCCCAUUACGUGUGGGUUGCAUAUAACAAAGACGCUUAGACAAGUGAGUGGACUGCCUUAUUAGCACAUUGAUGAGUCCAAAAAAAAAAAAAGACAGACGCUAAAACUAAUCUUUCAACACUAGAUGAUCAUGUAGCAGCACACCUAGCUUAUAUGCAUCAAUUAUACAUGUUUUUUUUUCCGUUAAACUACAUACCCAUAGUAGCCCAAAACACAUACAGCUUACCACAGAUUUGGUCCAGCUUUUGAUAGUAUGCAAUCCUCCAAGACCUAAUAAAAAACAAGGGAGCCACUACACUCCAAAAUCCCAAUACAAAGCCAAAAACAAUGCUGACAUAAAGCCAAUUCACUUUACGUCCUUUAUUUCCAACAUCAGUUGGAAUAUUUUUUGAGGUGCAGUUCUUAGUGAGAGGAGGUCCGCAAAGAUGAUUGCCCACAUAAGACAAGUUUUCAAAACUUUGAAGCUGAGUGCUUGUUGGGAUAUGUCCUGUCAAGUUGUUGUAGGACACAUUGAAGUGAUUUAAGAAAUUCAAAUUGGAGAAACUUGGAGGGAUUUCACCAUUUAGUCGAUUCAUGGACAAAUCAAGAGAUUCCAUUAACUCCAUAUUGCCAAUGUUGUCUGGUAUAUUUCCUGUUAGGAGAUUCCCUGAAAAAUUUAAAGAUAAUAGUCCAACGAGACUACCAAUUUCUUUGGGGAUCUCUCCUCUAAGACGAUUAGCUGAAAGGUCCAAGCUAGUAACAAGUCCUAGUGUGCUACCAUAUUCACCCUCUCGUCCUUUCAACACCAACAAUGCUUUCAAAUAAAAUGAGUAAUCAAUGAAAUACGGUGUAGAAAGUUCAUUAUUGGUUUCGUUUUUUGUGGCCAUUUCACUUAAAUUACUGAAACAUUUUGGAAUAACUCCUGAAAUGUUGUUGUGGCCAAAGUCCAAGUUUUGAAGAAAUUGAAGAUCACAAAUUUUGCGAGGAAUAUAACCAUCAAAGUUGUUUGAUCGAAGGCUUAGAACCACAAGGUUCGAGAGCUUAUCACCAAUCCAUGUUGGUACACUUCCACUGAAAUGAUUUUCACUAAGAUCAAGCAUAACUAAACUCCAAGAAUUUCUCAACGUGGAGGGUAAUUCUCCAAACAUGCUAUUGUUUCGAAGGUUUAACAUACAAGGAUUUGUAUAUCCCAAAGUAGGUGGGAUUUUUCCUGUCAAAUUGUUGUUUCCUAAAUUUAAAUAAGCUAAAUUUUCCCAAUGAUUCCAACAAUCUGGAAUUUCUCCAAUGAGUAGAUUUAUAUCGAUGUAAAGAGCUACCAUCUCCUUUAAUGAUGGAUUACAAAUUAAUUCAGAAAGGGAUCCUGAAAAUGAAUUAUUUGACAAAAAUAAAUAUCUUAAAGUUGAGAGUACUCUUGGCAAUGGACCUGUAAAGCGGUUGGAACUCAAGUCAAUAGAGUUUGUUACAUUCAAAUAUGAAAUCCCUCCAGUAAGUUGAUUAUAGGAAAGAUUUAAAUAUUCAAAUUGAGUGGGAAGAUUCACAAACCAAGUGGGCAUGACGUCUGAAAUUCCUACAUGGGAGAUAUCCAAAGAAGACAAUUCUUUUUGGAAUUUUAACCACAGGGGAAACUUUGAGCCAAGAUGCCAGUGACCCAAUUCAAUAAUUUGACAUUGAAAUGGGGGAAUCCAACUUGAGUUUGGUUCAAAUCUAAGCCUAUUGUGUGACGCCUUUAGAGUUGUCAAUCUCGUGAGUUCAGAAAAAUGGGUUUCUAUAACAACUCCUUCCAAUAGAUUAUACCCAAAAUCUAGAGUUUCCAAACUUUCCAAUUGUCCAAAACAUAGAGGAAAAGUACCAUUUAAUUGAUUUUCUGAAAGAUCAAAGUAUUUCAAAGAUGAUAACUCCCCUAUCGAUGAUGGAAUGGGACCAGAAAUGUUGUUUUGAGCAAGGGACAAGUAAGAUAGAUUUUUAAAUUGUCCAAGUUGAUAAGUUAAAUGACCAGAAAGUUGGUUAUCUGCCAUAUUUAAUGACUAUAAGGAACCCAAACAACAUCUAGACAAACUCUGUAGGAUUUCUGAUAUGUCUUGCUGAAUUUUAUUACUAGAAAGAUGAAGAAAUCGAAGAUGGUUUAAACAAAACAAGGAGUUGGGUAUGGAUGAAUUGAGUGAGUUCUGAUGAAGAUCAAGAACUUCAAGAAACGAGAUGUUCCCAAAGUAAUCAGGAAUUCGUCCAUCCAAAGAAUUGAAUCUAAGAUCAAUGGACACAAGACCAUGAAGACUAAAUAUUGACUUAGGUACUGAAGAUAAGCUGUUCCAAGAAAGAUCAAGAACAGCCAGUGAUUUUGAAGAAUUAACACUGAUCAAAUGUGGAUCAUCUUCCAAAAUGCAAGCUGACAAGUGCAACUCUAGCAGAGAAGGAUGUUUAAAUGUUACCUGUAGCCAAUCAGUUGCUUUAGAGAGAUUCGCGUAGCUCAAAUCAAGGUACUGCAAGGAAGAAAGUCCAGAAACCCAUUGAAGACUUUCUGAUAUGAGAUCAUUACCUCGAAGAUCAAGAUACUGCAACUUUGAAAGAUUCCCCAGGUUAUGAGGAAUUGCUCCCUGAAAUUGUGCUCGAGAGAGGUUAAGAUAUGUUAAACUCUCCAGCAAACCGAAUAAUUUCGGGAUAUGUAUGCUGCUAAAAUUAUUAUUGCUCAAGUCCAGGGUACUGAGAUGGUUCAACUCCAGCAGUGAAGGAUUUAUUUUGCCUCCUAGGGCUGACUGCUCGUAAGGUGAAAGAGGAGCAGCCAAGUGCAGUUGGUGGACGUGGCCCGUUAAGUUAAGGCAGACGACACCAAUCCCCUCCUUCAACCCAAGAAGAUAACCUGUUUGAAGGAUCAAUAAGAUGAUUCUUGAAUUUCAAAAGAGCUUCUCUCUCACUUGGAACGCAAAGUAGGUUGGAAUUGGCAUGACAAAUGGUAAAAAAGAUAGCGGGAACGAGAAGAAGAAAAGGGAAAAAGGAAAUUGGAAGAGCAGUAGUCAUGGUUGCAAUUGCCAUUGCUCACAACUCCAAAUAUAUACUAAGAUUAGCUAAAACACAAAAAUACAUGAAGCGCAAGGAAGUUUCUUCCAACAAAAUGCAUUUAAUUGAUAAUAGUCUGUCGGAAAUUUGCUAUCAAGGGAAAUUUCUAAUUAAUUGCAUUUAAUUGUCCAUAAAAUGUAAUAUGAAUUCUAUUAUUAAAUUAAAGAAAUGUAUGCUAUCAAGGAAGUUUUUUACAAUACCCUAAAAGUCUAUGAAGAAAGUCCCACUCCCACUUUCUUUAAGACUUUUUAGGUCUUAAAAGCUAAAGGAUUAAAAAAAAAAUAGUUUCCAAGUUUCGUGUUGAUUAUUUAUUUAUAUCAAAUUAUAAAGUAUAAUUUUUGAAGAAGGUUAAAAUAUGCUUUUAAGUUACUAUACACUUUUAUAUAUUUAGACUUUAAUUUCGUAUUUUUAAUUUUAAGAAUUUAUUCCAUAUAUUUUAAUUUUAAAAUUUAGGUGCAAUAGUUAUUAACAUUAAAAUUAUUCUAUUAAAUAUUCACUUGGGAGUCCUAUAACAAUAAAAUUAAUAUUAAAAAUUCUAAUUAAUUUUUUUCAUAAAAACACUUAUUCAAACUCAACUUAGUUUAUGGAAUAAAUCUCACUCCCAUGGUUUACUUGCUACUUAAAAAAAAUUGAUACAUCAAACUAGCUCUCGAAGCAUUUUUCAUUUAAGAAAAAUCUACGUUAAACUUGAUAACGCCACAAGGGAAGCGUGUCGUACAAUUCAAAGGUUAUCUGGUUGACACUUAUCCAUUACUUUCAUUUAUAUCCUUAACAAAAUAAUGGCAUAGGAUGUUUGUUCAAAGGGUUAGUAAUUAAGUUCGUCUCUAAAUUAUAGUUCACUUUUAGAAAUUUUUUGAAAAUAAUUCCAAAAAAUCUAUAAAUUCAUUAUUUAUUUGAUAAAAUUUUAAUAUUUUUAAAAAUAUAAUUAUAGAAAAAUUUAAAAUUAAAAAAAAAACUCAAAAAUUACCCAAUUCAACGAGCACCCAUUGGAAAAUUUACAUUAUGUUUUAUAUUAUAUUAGUAUCUUCAAACCAAUUAUAUGUUACAAAAUUAUAAUUAAAAAUAUUUUUUAUAAAAUUAAAAAGUGAGAAUAUUUUUAGUAUGAUUAUAGGUGUCUUUAUUCAUUUUAAAACUAGAGUGUAACAUCCCGAAAUAAGGCCUAGGAGUUUGGGCCAACAAAUCCUUAUUUUCUAUUAAGGGCUAAGAUCGAUUGGUUAACAAUUAGGGAUUGAUUUCUGAAAAGGGUAAAAGUAGGAGUACUUGAAUAGUUAUUUGUCCAAAGAGUUGAGGAAACAAUUUCCUUCCUUAAAUGAAAUAGAGUCAUGCAUGUAAGACUUCCUCUGUCAUGAGGAGACCCUUAGGUUCUAAACUACCCUAGUUACAUAUGAAUUAAACACUGCCAACAAAAGUUUUAAACCUAUAUGCAUACCAAAAUCCUACCAUUAGCCAAACCUCCAUUGAAUUGUUUCUCUAUGUUUUCUGUCAAGUUUCUGCAAAUAAAAAACCAAGCCCUUUUUUCUUAAAGGUUCAAGGUAAGACUCUGUUUCUCUAUUGGAUUAGACAUUUAUAAGUAAUUUUAGAACUUUUAAGAAAGCUUGCAACAAAAGAACUAGGUUCACCAAAUGAUUAGCAUGUGCGAACCUAAGCUUGCUUGUGUUUAUAAAUGAGUUUUAAUGUGCUUUGACUAUUAGUGACUUGUGAAUAUUUGUGAAGUUGCAAACUUGACAGAGCCGUCUACAAGCAAAGACAUGGGAAAGGCAAAGCUUGUUUAAAGCUUUCGACAAAUUGCUAAGUGUUCAGGGAUUCCCACUUGUAUGUGCGGACCAUAGUGUUAAUCAGGAGCUUAGGGUCUUAACCUAAGUUUUGAGAGUAAGUUUUCUUUAAAACUCUGUUUUAUUAUUGUGUUUGAAUAUGUGCUUUUAAGAAUAGUGAUGUGCGAGCUCUAUGCUGCAAGUUGGUUAUGAAUAGCAUUUUGUGAGCUCUUUAUGAAUUGUGAGCUCUAUGUUUAAGUAAAUGUUUUGAUAUUAUAGUUUUUGUAACCGUUUGAUAUAAUGGCAUGUCAUAGAAUUGUGAGUACUCACCUCUGUGUUUUUUGAUUUGGGGGAGAGGCAUUGGGACAAGUUAGGAGAAAUAAAGGAAUGACAAGCUAAGCUCCAUUCGUUGAGAUAUACUGGUGUGAUGGAAAGUGUUAGCUUAACACUACAUUUAUCAGAUAUGUCAAAAUCUUUUAGUCAAAGAGGGGAGUCAUAAAGAGAUUCACUUAUCCAAUAGAAAAAAAUAAGUGAAUGAGAUAGUAUUGUUUUUCAAAAUAUUAUGUUUUACUAACUUAUACUAAGUGACAGAGUGUAUCUGCGAACCAAACUUCGUGUAAGUAUGGAGAACCCAGUUCAUAGAGCAGAAACCUUGAUAAAACUCUUGUUUAACUUAUGUUUUUGUGCGUGCUUUGUGGUUUUUCUGUUCAUUGACUAAGUUGUCCCAGUACGACCUGAACUGAACUGGCAGCAACUGAACCUACUUGGGGUGUCGGUGGCAAUGGUUCUUCGAUGGUUGAGUAAUGAAAGAAUUAUACUCCUACUAGGACUCUACCAGAGAAUUUAAUUUUAGAUUAACUAUUCCAGGAAUAAUAUUAUUUUAAUAUAUUUAAUAUUAAAUUAAAUUUAAUACUUAUUUUAAUAGUAUUUUAUUAAUUUAUUAUUAAAAUAAUUAUCUAAUAUUAAAUUAAAUUAAAUGUUUAUCUUGUAGAUAAAUAUUCUAUUAACUUAAUAAGAUCUAAUAUUAAGGUGAUUAAGUUUAAUCAUAGUUGAACUCUCUAAACUUUUUCACUCUCUAAACUUUUUCUAUAUAAAGAGAGCAUUAGGUUAUCAUUUUUUACACACUUAAAUUUAAGAGAAAUUUGUAGAGAGAAAUUUUCUGAAGAAAUUAUUUUAGAAAAUUUCUAGAAAUAUUUUUCUUAUUUACAACACGGUCCAAAAGUUUUCUAAUUCAAAGUAAUGUUUGUGAAAAGUUUUCUAAUUCAAAGUGAGCCCACACUCGAUAGACGUGAGCUUGAGGAUAACGGAGAAGACUACUCAAUUAAAGUGUUCAUCCUAGACGAAUAAAAAAAGGUACAAUUUGAUUAAGUAUUUAUUAGUUUAGAUAUAACAACCAAGUUCUUGUUUUAGAAAAAAAUUAAAAAACUCUGAUUUUAUCCUAAAUUUAUUUUCUGCUACGUUUUUCAAACCCGGUUUUCCAACAUUGUAGGUGUCCCUUAAUGGUCCAAGGACAUGUCUUUUUCACCAAUCUGAUGGAACUACCCUUUUAUGGUUUCAGCGUAAUCCUUGGAAUGGACUGGUUAAUUGAUCAUAAAUCCAAGAUAGACUUUGAAUCGAAACGAGUCACUUUACGGUAAGGUGAUGGGAUGAAAAUUACUGUGGUUGGAGAGUGAGCCCAAGUUUUUUCUAACAUGGUCUCGACAAUUAGAACUGAGAAGAUGAUGGGAAAAUGUUGUAAAGCCUACUUAGUGUACGUACUAAAUUCAAACUGUAAGAAACUAAGUGUACAUGAUAUUCACACUGUUGUCGAUUUUCUUGAUAUGUUUCCUGAUGAGCUACCUAUUAUACCACCAGAUCGCGAAGUAGAAUUCAACAUUGAGCUUCAUCUUAGAAUUGUGCUAGUGUCAAUUGCGACAUAUCACAUGGAACCAAAAGAUCUUAAGGAGUUAAAGCUCCAAUUACAAGAGCUGCUUGACAGAGGCUUCAUUUGACCUAAUGUUUCUCCUUAGGGCUCGCCAGUCCUAUUUGUAAAAAAGAAAGAUGGUUCACUAAGUCUAUUUAUAGACUACAGAUAGCUUAACAAAAUAACCAUAAAAACAAGUACCCACUGCCUCGAAUCGACGAUCUGUUGACCAACUUCGAAAAGCUACAAUGUUCUCAAAAAUUGAUUUAAGAUCAGGAUACUACCAACUUAAAGUGAAGGAGUUCGGCAUUGAAAAGACAAUGUGUAGGAUUCGAUAUAGGCAUUAUGAGUUCUUGGUUAUGCCCUUUGAUCUCACAAAUGCACCAGUGGCAUUCAUGGACUUGAUGGUUCCAUGAAUUUUUGGAUCAAUUCAUAGUGAUUUUCAUAGAUGAACUUCUAUAGUACUCACAAACCAAAGGAGAGCAUGACAUCCAUCUGCAAGCUGUGUUGUAAGUACUACGGGAAAAACAACUAUAUGAUAAGCUAAGUAAGUGUGAGUUUUGGUUAUGCAAAGUAUCGUUCUUAGGACAUGUGUUCUUAGCAAAAGGAAUUCAUGUAGACCCAAGGAAGAUCGACACAAUUGUAGAGUGGAAGACACCAAAGAGCAUUAUUGAGGUUUGAAGUUUCUUAAGAUUAACUGGAUACUAUCGAUGGCUUGUUGAAGAGUGUGUCAUCCCCUAUACUUUGAUUUUAAUCUUGGUGGUAGGUGCGGUAAGCAUCUCUACCAUCUCACUACUUUCCAGAUUAGGCAUAUUGCCCAAAGAAUAAGGCUCAGCUCGAAACCCUCUACGAUGUCCACCAUGCCCUCGUGUACCAUGACCUCACAUACCACGUGUGCUCAUUUAACUUAUCUAAAGUUCAAAAAUCUUAAAUUUAGCUUAGAUUAUUUUUAAAUCCCAAGUCUAAAGUUUAGUAGAAGCACUUAUCUUAAAGCAAAAAUUAUUUUAUUCUAUAGUCUUUAAAGGUUAGCAAUUUUACUAAAGUAACUAUAGUAAGAGUAAUUAUAGUAAAAAAUUUCUUACUUGGAUUGGCAUUGGAGUCUCAAAUUCUUUUUACGAACUCAAACAUCAAAAUUAAUCCAAAUUUAAAUUUAUUGUUGUUAAAAAUAAUUUUCAUAAAAUAUUACCCAAAAAUAACAGCCUGAGUUUAGAACUUGGCUCUAAUACCACCAAGUAUAACACCCCAAACCCGUCAUAGUCGUUAUGGCGAAAUCUUGAAGGUUACAUUAAUGAGUUGAAACUUGGUCAUUUAUUUUUAAAAUGUAUCUUUUUCCAAACCCGAAAAUAAGAGAUUUUAUAGAAACUUGCCUCAACUCUUUGGUAAGAGAAUUUGCCAAUCAUAAAAAUGUAUAUGUACAAAUUUGAAACAUUUGCUUAAAAAAAUUGAUUUUUAUAAAUUCAUGAUGCUAUCGACUUUAUUUACUUACUUUGAAAAACGCAUAAUCCCGAUUAAAAAUUUGUAGCAGAAAAUUUCUUAUAAUUGUUUAACCUUGAAAAUUGAUUGUUUAAGUUAAAUUAUUAGAAAUUGUGCCAAUUUUAGAAUAACUAAUUAAAAUACUCAACAAAUCCCAAAAACAAAAGUUAAAGUCAGAAAAAUAGUCCAAUAGUCCAUAUGUCCAUAAAAUCUAAAUUUUUUUUUUGAAAGAGUUUAACAUAGAAAAAGUGAAUUGAGCUCCCAAGCAUUGCCAAAUCCUAAGUUUGAGGAUUACCUGAAAUAUAUUUAUCAAACAAUGUGAGAUAUAAAGGUUAGUGUGUGCCUUGGCCCACAAGCUAAAAUCACAAACAGAAUCAUACUUAGAUGCAAAUACAAAAGUAGACAUAUAAAAAAAUUCUACAUGCAUAGCAUGACAUAAUCAAACAGAAUAAUCCUACCUCCAUCAGCUACACACUAACUCCGUCCAACUAAUCACACCAAAUAAGGCUACAAGAACUCAUCCAUCCAUCACAUUAUAAUAUGGUUCUAUGUCACUUAGAUAAUAUGUAGCUAUGUUGCCAGAAUAUAUAUUGUGGGUAUAAUGCCAGAAUCAUGUAAUGCAGUAAAUUUGCCAAAAUCACACUUCAUCACAUCCAUAUAUCCCACCCCAAAUGCACAUGCAAAGUCAUACUAAAAGAUCAUGCAUAAGUAUCAUAACAUGCCAUGCCUACUUAUAAAUAGUCAGAUACAUGUUUUUCAUACAUACGAGAUAAUACGACAUAUCAUACAGGAAAUCUUACUCAGAGUUUAACACCUUUAUUGAGUGAAUGCAAAUUAGAUUUAGAAAACUCACACUCGGCCUGCACAAUGCCCAAUAAAUUGCACAAACUGGGCUCACACGCCAUGUGGCCCACACACCCUACCAUACAAUCUAGCACACAACCAAUUAGAUGCCCGUGUGACCCAUACAACUUGUCAUAUGGCCAAACAGACGACCAUGCGGUGAUAUCUACCAGUUUCAAUUUUUCACAAAAUUUCCAUAUUAUUGACCUUUCAUAGUAUCUACAAGUUUAGAACACACUUGAUUACUGUUGGAAUGUAGGCACCAUACCAACAAUAAUUUUUGCACACAACAUUCACAACUAGACCCAAUUCGCAACCAAUAUUGAAACUGAUAGGUGUCGAAUCCACCAAUAUAAACCUACGCCUUAAAUUGCAAAUUAUGCAGUAUAGGGAGUAGGGUUGAUCCCUCAAAGACUGGUUUACUGUAAAUUGUUGCUCUCUUGACCAGAUUUAUGUUGGGGCAAUUGUCGUGCCCAAGAAAUUCGGGGGGAUAAAAUUUUAAGUCCUGAAAAUAAAUAAAUAAAAUGCGUGAAAAGAAAAAGUUGAAAACAUAAUAAUAAAAACAGUGAAAUAAAUAUUAAGAAAAAUUAAUUAGAAUAAGCUCAACUUUAGGCACGAAUUUUCCUCGUCUUUGAACCGAUCCUCGAAAUUGGAUGAACUCCUCUUUUCCAAUAAGCUAGUUAUAGCUACCAAGGACGCCUCGGAUACCAACUCUUCCUUGUGUAAAUUAGUUAAGGAACGUCCAAUAACUAACCCUUACCAAUCGAACAACCAUGAAACGUUCGUGAUUUAGAACUCCGGCAGCUUUGCGUUCUAGAAGAGCCUAGCUCGAACCAAUGCCCUCAACCGCGUGGGACAUUUACAUCCGGUUACUACUUCCCUUGACGGAACCAAAUAGCAAUCUCCACUUGGCACGCCAAUGUGUUCACAGAAAACUAAUUAGAAACGUUCCUUUCGGAAUUCCAACUGUACGUCUAAUCACACUAAAUCAAACGUCUUUUUUGACUUAGUGUUGACCUGACUUUGUGAGCUGACAAAAUCAUACUCUUAAUCCGGAGAAGUAAUAAGUACUGGAAUUUUAGGAGUUAAAUGACUCAGGUUCGUAACUCACGGGUUUUGACGAGGCUAAUUUCGGCCUAAAACUGAAAAUGGGUUUAGUUGGCUAAGGUUUGGGGCAUGUUGGUUUUGGAAUAAUUAAAUAAGAUUGAAUAAAUGAAAAAAAAUGAAAGUGAGUGGUGAAAGUGACGCAAUGUUGGAAAUUAAUUGCUGGCAAAAACAAAGAAAGAAAAGAUUGAAUUGCAAGAAAUAAAAGCUUAAUUUAAAAACGAAAUGAUUAAAAACUUGAUGGAAAAUUUUAUGAAAAGACUUGAUGAAAAACUUAAAAAGAACUUGCUACAAAACUUGAUAGAAAACUUGGUAAUUAAAACCUUGAUAAAAGAACUAAAUGAAAAAUAUUUGAAGAAAGAAAUAACACUUAAUGAAAGACUUAAUUGAAAGCUUGAUUCAUGAAUUGAUGAAUUGAUGAACAAUGUAGCCUCUAUUUAUACUAGUGGCUUUACUAAAUUAAGAGCCAACUAGUAUAGAAAAUCAAGGAAAAUAUUCUAUAAUAUAAAAAAUAUCCCAAAAUAAUCUCCCACUAAGUCAACAAUUUCAGCUAAUUAUUCUUGGAAAAAUUCUGCUUUGGCCCUCCUUCUUUGCUUCUUUCUUCAAUCUAGUCCAAUUGUUUCCUUUUUCUUCUAUUUAGCCCCAAAUUGCAUUCCUGCACAAAAUUCAAUAAAUAUGGCAAAAUUAAUGGUGCAUUCUCAUAAAUUAACCAAAUUAAUUACAUAAAAUAUGUAACUUUAGCAUUUAAUCAGAAACCAAAACUUGAAUUCCAUAUUUAACACUUAAUAAAACCAACCUCAAAACUAACAUUUGGUCACUUACCCAGAAGAGGAUUGAUUCCACUACAAUCAACUAGAAGAAUGAGUAACCAUUGUAGGAUCCACCGCUAAAAUAAACCCCCAAAAAUAAAGAUCAAUAACGAAGAUUAAAGAAUGACUAAAACCCCUAUCUGUCACAUGGAACCAAAUUAAUUCACCUUAUGAAGAUUAAAGAUUAAAGAAUGCACUUACAAGACUUACACGAAAACGAAAAUAUGAAUUCCUCGCUCAAAACACAACACCACAACCAUAAAAUGCCAGAAAAUGAUAACAGAGAAACAAAAAUAGAGGAACAAAGAUUGAGUUUGCAAUUACAAAAACCAAACAAAAGAGAAAGGGAAAAGAAUAGAUGAAAAAUGAUAGAGAAAAUUUGCAGAAACAAAAAUGACCAAAACAGAAAAUGGGGAGAGGGUGGAAAGAGAGGGACGACUGAAUAAAGAGAGAUUUUAGGGAUAUUUUUUAUAAUUAAAAAAAUAAAUCAGAUAAAAAUACUAUCUAAUCUAAUUAGUAACCACCUAUCAGAUUACUCAACAGUUAAAUUUGACAGAAACUCUGACAAGUAUGGGCGGCAGCAACCGAUAUACAGCAAAAAUUAAUUUCUUUUACACACAACAGAGUUUAAACUUGGGAACUAAGGGUAAACUAAAGCCUUAUUAUUGAACCAGCAGACUCAUUAUUACCAGCAAACUAGCAAGACUAAAAUAUAAGCUACAAGUGAUGAGCCAAAUGAAGAAAUAAAAAUAAUACAAAAUUUGUAAGGAAAGGGAUUCGAAUAUAAAGUCUCAGGCACAUAAACAAAACCAUUAACACAAUAAACUAAAUAAAUUUACUUGUCAUAAUUAAGCGAUUUAAAUCUAAAAAAUUUGGUGCGUUACAAUUUCCUUCAAAAAGGAAGAUUCAAGCCUGCAGGCACACAGAAAACAUCAGCAACGCAAGCUUCCUUAAAAAUACAUGAUAAUUUAGUUUUUAGGGCACACCGUCGAAUAAAGAGUCCAAUACUCAACACCCAACGUCAGCUUUCAAAACGGAUACAUUUAUUCAAGCUGCCAUCUUUAUUUAACUCAAUAAUAUUACGCCAAACCGUGGACAUUUUAUGAGUAUGAUGCAAGGAAGGCAGCCAUGAAAGUUUACCCAAUCCAUAUUUCACUACCAAUAGUUUUCUCCAAAGAGAAUUAUGCUCUGUACUAUAUCUCCACCACCAUUCGGUUAGUAGAGAGCAGAAUUUUUAUCUAUGAGUUUCCCAAUGCCUAAAGCACCACAUCUUUUAGAUUUAACAAUCAACGCCCAUUUCUCAUACAAAAAAGGAAAACCAUCUCCCAUUAAUACAAAUGACAUGUCAUCAUUGUUUCAUACAAUCCUUUACCAUUAAUACAAGUGAUUUAAUUUAAUUAAUAAUAAAAAUUAAAUAACCUAAUUUGAUUAAAUUAAAUAUUGAUGAUGGAUAUGAAAAUUAAUGUAAGUUUAAUGAUUUAAAUUGUAAAUAACUCAUUGGAUAAAUUUACAUUGAGAGUCAAAGCAUAAUUAGACUAUUAGAGAUGAUUAAUUGUCUUCAUACAUUUUGUUUGAAACUUCUAGUUAAUCUUACAAAUUUCCAUGCCUUCAAUCCAUUUUUUGACAUUAUCUAAUGAAAUAAUAUUUUGUUUGAAAUUAAGCAUUACUCCAAUAGUAGAUUUGACCACCAUUAACCAGUUCAAACCAUUUUAUAUUACUACUAUGACCUUUGUGGCCAAUGGUUGCUUCAUUGCUGAUGUUUUGAAUAGUUAUGGAAUACCCAAAACAUUUUGUAUGUAUCCUAUUGUUCAUUCCUUUUUCAAUUUAUUCAAAACUUCGUUUUUUUGUAUAAUACAGCGAUAAGAAGCUUUGUUAAUGACAUAUUAUGUUUAGUUUGCUUUGCCUAUAUAUGGAUUGAAUUAAUUUAGGCUGAUCACUCGCUAAACCUUCCAAUUAUGUCCAUAUUAUUAUGCUAAGUAUUGUUAUGAUACUUGCUAUCAUUGGUCCAAAAUCUAAAGGGGCUUGGGUCGGAUUCUAUUGAGCUCACACGUUGAGCUUGCAGACCAAGCUCGUAGGAUAAUGGAUGUUCACAGGAUAGGUACUUACAUUCUCCUGCGAAAUCAUACGUGAGAUCGUGUAUGAGACCACAUAAAUAUGUGUUAAGUCGAGAGUAGGAUACUUGUUGAUAUGUAUGGAACCUACCUAAAAUGUUAUAUCAAUGAACAGUACAAAUAUCAUAUAAAUACACAAACACCGCUAUCUAAGAGAGAUAGAGAAAACACUCAACAGAAUUUAGGUUUUAACUGGCUCUAAUCAUCACGUGCUUCUCUUUGACAGGUCUUUUCAAUUUCUAUUGAAUAAGUUUAGCUUUCACUUGAAGCUUUCCUUCAAUGAAUAUCUGCUUUUCUUCAUCUUUGAGUUUUGUUUUCCUUCAAUACCGAUUACUGAAUUAUGAGUUUUGUUAAUAGAUUUGGAAAGAAAACUCAUUGAGAUCUUUUUUCUUAUAGUUAUAAAUUAGGAAUUUGGUGGCAAAGUAGAGUUGGAAUGGCAAAGAGUAAUAGGGCUGGGCUAUCUACAGACUUGUUGACGAAGAUUUGUCAUGGUUGCAAUCGCCAUUGGUCACAACUCCAAAUAUAUAGUGUAAGCUUAGCUAAAACACAAAUAUAUUGAGCACAUACAUCAAGCGCAAUGAAGUUUCUUACAACAAAAUGCAUCGGAAAUUUGCUAUCAAGAGAAAUUUCUAAUUAAUUGCUUUUAAUUUUCCACAAAAUGUAAUAUGAAUUUCGAUUAUUAAAUUAAAGAAAUGUUAAAAAGUUCAGUCAAACAAAAUGGGUGCCGUGGACCCUUAAUUAUUUCAUCACGCAUAAAACAAUAUUAAAUAAAUUAUAAAAAAUCUAAAAUUAUAAUAACUAAAGUAAAUUAUACAACAUCUACCCAUUAAUAGGCCUAAAAAAUACGAAAGAUUGAUCACUGUAACACUCCGAAUUUCUUAGAUAUGGAAUGUUAAAUUAUAACAAAUAAUUUAAUUCUGUUUAGUGGAUAAGUGUAGUGAUUAAGUGGGUGAGGUUUUGGGUUUGAGUUUUUUCUUUAGAAUUUUGUUAAUUUUUGGUUCUAUUUCUAUCACUAAUUAUUUGAUUUAAAUCUUAUUUCUAGAUAAAUUAUUAUAGAAUAAAUCUAUUGGUUCAAUGGUUAAGUUUUAACGUAUUCUAGAGUUUAAAUCUUGGUGUGGGCAUAUGAAAUGUUUUUGUUGCUUGUUAUUUGUCAAUAGUUGAGUUCUUUUUUAAUCACAUUGGAUUAUUAUAUAAUUUUUUUUAAGUUAUCAAAAUAAAACAUAUCCCUAAAUUUACUCUAAUUUGCACGUCCAAUUACCCUUCCCUUCUCACGUUCGUUUCUUUUUCUUUUUCUUGUAUUUUCUUCUUUUGUUUUUGUAGCCUCUUUUCCAUUAUUCUUUUCUGCCGUACUUGCUUAAUUUCUGCUAUUCCAUUUUACCCCUUGUAUUCGUGCACGGUGAACGUGGAGUAAGUUUCAUUUAAUAAUUUCUGUUCUUUUCCUUUGAAAUUGUUUCUUGAACAAGAUAGGAGUUGUGCUUAUACCUAAUCUUCUUUCUUAGUUUUGAUAAGCGCUCUUGUGUUUUCGAUUAGGCGAAGGGAGUGAGAAUCUUAUUCCUCCAGCAGAAUAGUUCUCGUCUUUGGUGUUGUUUUUGAGCGGUGAGUAUACGAAUCUCGUUUUAGGGACUGAAUUUUGACCAAAGAAUGUCAAUUUGGGUGGGUCUUUGAUGAUUAAUUAGUAUGAUUUGUUAAUUGAUUGUAGGUUUUAAUCAAUUAUCUCAUCAGGUGUGUAAUUAACCCCAAACAUCAUUUAAAACUCGAGAAAAUUAUAAAAUAGGGGAUGUUUUCGAAACUGCCCAGCGUCACACGGCCGUGUGGAGCACAUGCUCUGUGAAAUAACAUGGACAUGUGGUAGGUCAUGUGGACCAAACGGACUAGCUUUUUGGGCUGUGUGGGAGCUUGUUGGGCCAAUUUUGAGGCCCAAUUAGGGCAGUUUAGGGGACUCAAAAAUUGAGUCUAUGGGCAUUAUGUAGGCCCGAAAAAACAUAAGUUUCAAUUUGCAAACAUAGGUUUGUGUAGAAAGCAUGUUAAGUAAGUCUCGAUAAGUGUAUUAAUGUGAUAUGAUAUGCUUUAUAAAUAUGUACAUUAGAUAUGCAAGCUAUAUGAUUUGUGAGUACCACAUGCUGUGUUAUGUUCCGUAUGAAAAUAUGUGUAUAUGCAUGCCAUACGAUUUAUGUUAUAUGUAUGUAUGAUAUUAUGCCUAUGUUUUGGGGUGGGAUUUGAUAUAAUGAAGGAAGUUUUAUAUGGCAGUAUUUACUGCAACUAUGGUGGCUAGAAUGCAAAUUUCUGUCUAGUAGCUCAGCGGCAUAUUAUGAGUGACAUACCUCCACAUAUUGGUGUGAUGGGAUCGAUGGAUGUACUCUUGCAGUUCUAAUUAGUGUGUUUGGUUAGAUAGAGAUGGUGUGUAGCCAAUAGGGGUAGGAUAUGUUUUGUUAUAUGAUAUGCUUUGAUAUAAAAUCUGGUAUGAUAUGAUAUGUAAUAAGCUAUGCAUCUAUUUGAUUUUGACAUAUACUAUGAUUUGUGGGCCAAAUUACACGCUGGGUGUAAAGCUCACAUGUUUGUUUUGUUUUAGGUAAUCCUUAGGCUUAGGAUUGAAUGGCGACUCUAGAGCUUGGUUUUCACGUUUGGGUUUAGUAUGUUAUGGACUUUCAAUUUUAUGGACUUUUUAUUCGGACUUUUGGACAUUUAAUUUUUUUCUAGGACGUUUAGAAUUUAUUUUGGUAGUUGUUUUGUUAAAGCUUUGGUUUUUAAUCGGAGUUAAAAACAAGACGACUAACAACAAACUAAAGGUAAAUAAGACAAAAUUUCUAUAAUGUGUCGCAGCCAAAUAUUGUCAAAAAUUGCUAGAAUGUUUUAUAUCGCAAACGAUUUAAGUAAAAUAGGUUUGUUUUUAGUAAAACUAUUAAACAUGCUUUUUCCUCGAAGCACUCAUGGGUUUUUGAGAAUUGAUACAUUUUCAAAGAGUUAUUCAAAUCGAUUUUCUUUACGUUGAAAGUGGGGUUUCAUCAAAAUUAAGAAUUAAUGUUUUCAUGUACGAUGUAAUCUCCACAUCCCGACAGUAACGUCUAAGUCGAGUUUGGAGUGUUAUACUGAGCUUGCUCGAGUAGAUACCUUGGGAAAUUAAAAUAAAUUUAAGAAAAUUAUAAUUAAAUUAUAAAAAAAUUUGUUGAAAUGUCAUUAAAUAAUUGAAAAGGGAUAAUGGAUGAUAUGGUGGGAAAUGUCUACAAAAUAAUUUCUCCGACAAAACAUAUUCAUACAUUAUCAUAACACAAUUUGAUCCACUCUUCGGUAAAUUAUACCAACAUAAAAUGUCAUUGCACAAGGGAAAACAAGAAUAAAUAAAGAAUAAUAAAUCUAAACUCAGAGUUUAGUUCAAUUGAUCCAUGUAAUCCUUUUUAAAAUGUUACAUUUAAUAGAUUUGAGAACGGAAUCCUAUAUAAUCAAUACAAACACACAAACCUUAAUUAUACAUGUUUUUUUUCCAUCAAACUACAUACCCAUAGUAGCCCAAUACACAUACAGCUUUCGACCUGGUCCAACUUUCGAUAGUAUGCAUGCCUCCAAGACCUGUUGAAAAACAAGGGAGCCACUACACCCCAAAAUCCUAUUACAAAGCCAAGAACUAUGCUACAUAAAGCCAAUUCACUUUACUUCCUUCACUGCUACUUCCAUUAUUUGCAACAUCAGUUGGAAUACCUUUUGUGUUGCAACUUUUAGUGAGAGGAGGUCCGCAAAGAUGAUUGCCCAUGUAAGAAAAGUUUUCAAAGCUUUGAAGCUGAGUGCUUAUUGGAAUUUGUCCUGUCAAGUUGUUGUAAGACACAUUGAAGUGAUUCAAGAAAUUCAAAUUGGAGAUGCUUGGAGGGAUUUCACCAUUCAAUCGAUUCACGGACAAAUCAAGAGAUUCCAUCAGCUCCAUGUUGCCAAUUUCGUUUGGUAUAUUUCCUGCUAGGAGAUUCGUUGAUAGAUUUAAUGACCGUAGCUCAAUGAGACUUCCAAUUUCAUUUGGAAUCUCUCCCGUGAGACUAUUAGUUGAAAGGUCCAUACUGGUAACAAGCCCUAGUGUGGCACUGUAUUCAUCCUCUUGUCCUUUCAGCACUAAUAAUGCACUCAAAUAAAAGAGAGUAGUUCUGGUACUUACCCACUCAUAAAUAUAGUUACUUUGGUUGCUUCUGUUGGCCAUUGCAGUCAAAUUACUAAAACAUUUUGGAAUAGUGCCUGAAAUGUUGUCAUGGGCAAGGACCAAAUUCUGAAGAUAUUGAAGAUCACAAAUUUUAUGAGGAAUAUGGCCAUCAAAAUUAUUUGAUCGAAGGCUUAGAACCUUAAGUCUUGAGUGCUUGUCUCUAAUCCAUUCUGGUACACUUCCAUUGAAAUGAUUUUCACUAAAAUCAAGCAUAAUCAAACUGGAAUUUUGCAAUGUGGAUGGCAAUGCUCCAAACAUGCUAUUAUUCCGAAGGUUUAGCAUUGAAAGAUUUAUAUGCCCUAAAGAAGGUGGGAUUUUACCGGUCAAACUGUUGCUUCCCAAAUUUAAAUGCCCUAAAUUCUGCCAAUGAUUCUAACAAUCUGGAAUUUCUCCUGAGAUGAGAUUUUUAUCAAUGUAAAGAACUUCCAUCCCUCCCCUACUUGGUGAAUUACAAACUAAUUAAAAAAGAGAUCCUGAAAAUGAAUUAUCUGACAAAAUUAAAAAUUUUAAAGUUGGGAAUACUACUCUUGGCAAUUGGCCUGUGAAUCGGUUUGAACUCAAGUAAACAAUGUAUGUCACAUUCAAAUAUGAAAUCCCUCCACUAAGUUGAUUAUAGGAAAGAUUUAAAUAUUUAAAUGGAAUGGGAAGGUUCAAAAACCAAGUGGGCAUGACAUUAGAAAUUCCUGCAUCAGAGAUAUCUAACACAGACAACUUCUUUUGGAACUUUAACCAUUGGGGAAAUUUUUGGCCAAGAUGCCAAUGACCCAAUUCAAUAAUUCCACAUUGAAAUGGGAGAAUCCAGCUUGAGUUCGGUUCAAAUAUUGUGUGAUGCCUUCAAAGUUGUCAAUCUGGUGGGAUUAGAAAAAUGGGUUUCUAAUACAACUCCUUCCAAUAGAUUAUACCCAAAAUCUAGAGUUUCCAAACUUUCAAGUUGUCCAAAACAUAAAGGAAAAAUACCAUUUAAUUGAUUUUCUGAAACAUCAAAGAACUUCAAAGAUGAUAACUCCCCUAUGGACACAAUUGAAUGGGACCAAAAAUUUUGUUUCGAGCAAGGGACAGGUAAGCUAGAUUUUUAAAUUGGCCAAGUUGAUCAGUUAAAUGACCAGAAAGUUCGUUACCUGCCAUAUCCAAUGACUCUAAGGAACCCAAACAACAUCUAGACAAACUCUGUAGGAUUUCUGAUAUUCCAUCUUCAAUUUUUUUAUAUGACAAAUCCAUCUCCUUCAAUUUGCACAGAUAUUCCAGAGAGGUUGAUAAUCUUCCCUUCAACAUAAAAUUUGAACAAAGAUCAAGGUGAGUAAUAGAGCUCAAGUUUCCAAUGGUUCUCGAGAUUGUUCCUUGUAACUGGUUUUCACCACGACUCAGGAACUGAAGACGGUUUAAACUAUACAAGGAAUUGGGUAUGGAUGAAUUGAGAUGAUUCAAAGUAAGAUCAAGAACUUCAAGAAACGAGAUGUUCCCAAAGUAAUAUGGAAUUGGACCUUCCAAAGAAUUCUCACUAAGAUCAAAGGACAUAAGACUAUGAAGACUAAAUAUCGACUUCGGUACUGAAGAAAAGCCGUUCCCAGAAAGAUCAAGAAUAACCAGUGAUUUUGUAGAAUUAACACUAACCGGAGAUGGAUCAUCUUCUAAACAACAAUUUGACAAGCGCAACUUUAACAAAGAAGGAUGUUUGAAUGUUACCUGUAGCCAAUCAUUUGCUUUAGAAAGAUCCGCACCACUCAAAUCAAGGUACUGCAAGGAAGAAAGUCCAGAAACCCAUUGAAAACUUUUUGGUUUGAGAUAAUUACCUCCAAGAUCAAGAUAAUGCAACUUUGAGAGAUUCCCAAGGUUAUGAGGAAUUCCUUUCGGGAAUCCAGCUUGAGAGGUUAAGAUGUGUUCAACUCCCCAGCAUACCAAAAAAUUUCAGGAUAUAUAUGCUGCUAAAAUUGUUAUAGCUCAAGUCCAGGGAACUGAGAUGCUUCAACUCCAGCAGUGAAGGAUUUAUUUUGCCUCCUAGAUUUGACCGCUCGUAAGCUUCCCAUUCAAAACAUGGUGCAAAUUCAUCAGGCUCUGAAAGAGUAGGAGCCAAGUUCAGUUGGUGGACUUGGCCUGUUGAGUUAUGGCAGACGACACCAAUCCAUUCACAGCAAUCCCCACCUUCAACCCAUGAAGAUAGCCUGUUUGAAGGAUCAAUAAGAUGAUUCUUGAAUUUCAAAAGACCUUCUCUCUCACUUUGAAUGCAACGUGCGUUGGAAUUGGCAUCACAAAUGGUAAAACAGAUAGCGGCAUUGAGAAGAAGAAAAGGGAAUAAGGAAAUUGGAAGAGGAGCUGUCAUGGUUGCAAUUGCCAUUGCUCACAACUCCAAAUAUAUUGAGUAAGCUUAGCAAAAACACAAAAUCAUACAUGAAGCGCAAGGAAGUUUCUUCAAACAAAAUGCAUCGGAAAUUUGCCAUCAAGGAAAUCUCUAAUUGAUUGCAUUUAAUUUUCCACAAAAUGUAAUAUGAAUUUCGAUUAUUAAAUUAAAGAAAUGUUAUAAAGUUCAGUUAAACAAAAUGGAUGCCGUGGUCCCUUAAUUAUAUCUUCAUGCAUAAAACAAUAUUAAAUAAAUUAAGAAACUAAAAAAAAAUUAAAGAAAAUUAUAAGAAAAUUUUAUCUAAAAAAAAUUAAAGAAAAUUAUAAGAAAAUUUUAUCUAUUUUUAUUUUUAAAUUUUAAAGAGCUUACUUUUUUUAUAUAUUUUUUUGAAAAUCUUUAAAAUUUUAAAUUUCUAAAUUUUAUAUAUUUUUUUAAUUUUUUAAAAUAUUUUAGAUUUUUUAAAUUUUUAAAAAGUGGCAUAUAAAAUAAAAUAAUGUUAAUGUAAACAAAAAUAUUGUCCACGUACAUUAGGGGCAAGGGAUGUUAUCAAAAUUUUCCACAAAAUGUAAUAUGAAACUCGAUUAUUAAAUUUCAGUCAAACAAAAUGGAUAUGAUGAAGGAAGACAUGGAAUUUGAAUAACAUUAUUUUUCUCUAUGUUUGGGUAUCAUUAAGCCAAAAUUUGAAAACGAUUAUUGAAAAUAAUGAUUUUUUUCUUGCCCUCAAACAUUUACUGAAAAUAAAUCAAUUUAUCUUUUACUCUCCUUUAUUUAACUCUUAAAUAUGUUUUUAAAGACAACCAUAAAACUUAUAUAUAUAUAUAUAUAUAUAUAUAUAUAUUAGCAUAUUUUUCAAAUUUCGUGUUAAGUUUUAUUUGCUUGUAUCAAAUUAUAAAGUAAAAUUUUGAAGGUUAAAAUAUGCUCUAUGUGCUUUAAAUUUGGAUGGUAGUUUUGUACUUUUAUUUUUAAAAAUUUAAUCCAUUUUUAAAUUUAAAAUCUCAAGUCCAAUAAUUAUUGCCAUUAAAUUAUUCUAUUAAAUUUAAUGGUGUGACGUUUAAACUUUAAAAAAAUACAUCCACUUAAUAGUUCUAUAACAAUAAUAUUGAAAAUUCUAAUUAAUAUAUUUUUUUUCUUAAAAGACACUAGUUUGAACUCAACUAAGUCUAUGGAAUAAAUCCCACUCCUGCUGUUUACUUGCUAUUUAAAAGAAAUUGAUACAUCAAAAUAGCUUUCAAAGCAUUUUCAUUUAGGAAAAUUCGACGUUAAACUUGAUAACGCCACAAGGAGGAGUUAUCAAAUCUAGCAGUUAACCAAAUUUAUGGACAUUUAAUCGAUCAACUUGGCAAUUUAAAAAUCUAGCUUACUUGGCCCUUGCUCAAAACAAAGUUUAUGGUCCCAUUCCGUUGUCGAUAGGGGAGUUAUCAUCUUUGAAGUUCUUUGUUGUUUCAGAAAAUCAAUUGAAUUGUACUUUUCCUCUAUGAUUGGGACAACUGGCAAACUUAGAAACUCUAAAAUUUGGGCAUAAUCUAUUGGAAGGAGUUGUAUUAGAAACCCACUUUUUUAAUUUCACGAGAUUGAUAACUUUGAAAGCAUCAAAGAACAUGUUGAGAUUUGAACCAAACUCAAGUUGGAUUCCCCCAUUUCAAUGUGGAAGUGUUGAAUUGGGUGAUUGGUAUCUUGGCCUAAAGUUUCCCCAAUGGUUAAAGUUGUAUCAUUUAGAUAUCUCCUAUGCAGGAAUUUCAGAUGUCAAGCCCACUUGGUUUUUGAACCUUUCCACUCAAUUUGAAUAUGCAAAUCUUUCCUCUAAUCAACUUAGAGGAGAGAUUUCAUAUUUGAUGUGAAAAUAUUGUUGACUUGAGUUCAAACCAAUUCACAGGUCUACUGCCGAGAGUAUUCCCGACAUUAGAUUUUUUAGUUUUGUCAAAUAACUCAUUUUCAGGAUCCCUUUCUGAUUUAGUUUGUAACUCAUCGGGAGAGGGAUGGAUGAGAUCUCUUUACAUUGAUGCAAAUCUUCUUUCUGGGGAAAUUCCAGAUUGUUGGAAUCAUCGGUUUUUGAAUUAUUUAGAUUUGGCGAACAACAAUUUGACUGGAAAAAUCCCACCUUUGUUACAUAAAGAUCUUAGACUGCUCAACCAUCGAAAAAAUAGCAUGUUUGGAGAAUUACCCUCCACAUUGUGAAAUUCUACGAGUUUGUUUAUUCUUGAUCUUAAUGAAAAUUAUUUCAGUGAAAGUGUACCAGUAUGGAUUGGUGAUAAGCUCUCAAAACUUAUGGGUCUAUGCCUUCGAUCUAAUAACUUCAAUGGCCAUAUUCCUCAUAACAUUUGUGAUCUUCUAUCUUUCAAAACUUGGACCUUGCCCAUAACAACAUUUCAGGGGUUAUUCCACCAUGUUUCAGAAAUUUAACUGCAAUGGCCACAAAAACCAAAAUCAAUAGUGAACUUAUUUCGUGGCCAAUCCUUGGCCAUUCAUUAAUUUUAGAGCAUUAUUGGUGAUGAAAGGGCGAGAAGAUGAAUAUGAGACCACACAAGGACUUGUUACUAGCAUGACCUUUCUGCUAACAGUCUCACAGGAGAGAUCUCCAAAGAAAUUGCAAGUCUCAUUGGGCUGUGAUCAUUAAAUUUGUCAGGGAGGCGACAUGGAGUUAAUAGAAUCUCUUGAUUUUCUGAUGAAUCAAUUGAAUGGUGAAAUCCCUCGAAGUUUUUGAAUUUCUUGAAUCACUUCAAUGUCUCCUACAACAACUUGAUAGAAUAAAUCUCAACAAGCACUCAACUUCAAAGCUUUGAAAACUUGUCUUAGGUGGGCAAUGAUAUUUGUGGACCUCUUCUCACUAAGAACUGCACCACAAAAGGUUUUUCAACUGAUGUUACAAAUAAUGGAGAUAGCAAUAAAAGAAGUAAAGUGAAUUGGCUUUAUGUCAGCAUAAUUCUUGGCUUUGUAAUGGGAUUUUGGGGUGUGGUGGCUCCCUUGUUUUUAAUCAGAACUUGGAGGUAUGCAUAUUAUCAAAAGUUGGAUCAUGUUGGUCGGAAGUUGUGUCUUGAGCUACUAUGGGUACGUAAUUUGAUGAAAAAAAAACAUGUAUAAUUAAGAUUUGUGUUUUAUAAUUGAUUAUAUAAUCUUCAGAUCUCAGAUCUAGGAACUAAUAAUUUUGAGUUUAGAUUUUAGUACUCAGUACAUGAUUGGUGUUUUUCCUUUUGCAAUAAUUAAUGUCAUUUCAAGCUUGUAUAAUUUAAUGAAAGUGUGUUUUGACAAUGAAUGAUUAGGUUAAAGAGUGCAAUAGGGUAAAUUUUUACUAACUUUUGUCCAGCUGAUUAACUUCAACAAUAUACAAAUCCAUCAUAUCUUGUUAACUUUAUCUGUUUCUAGAAACUUUUGUGAGGAAUUCAAAAAAUCAUGCUCGCCUCUCAUUUAGUAAAUUUCUUCUCUCUUUUUUUCCCUAGGGUGUCAAAAACCUUUUUUUAAACGAUUUAUAUUUCGAAAACGAAAAUGGGAGUCACCACCAAUCUCUUUUAUGAGGUGUGAUUGGAUCACCUCGUAAUUUGAUUGUUUUAAUAAAAAGGCUUGAUCCACUAAAACAAUGAUUUUUGGUCUACAAAAUUCAGGAAAUGGGUUUGGGAGUCGGUUAUGCACGAGGAAGGAUUAGCACCCUCAUUACGCCCAAAAUUGGUACCUAAUUGAUUACUUGAUGUCUUAAUGUCGAAAAUUGAAAAUUUUAAGAGAAUUUAAAAUGUGAUCCCUUCGUAUUAAGAUAUUUUAAUAGAAAGGGUUUUAUUCUGAAUUAAUCGAGAAGAAGGAUCAUGUCCCGUCAAUUAGGACAUGACACCUUUAGUUUUCGAAAAUCAAAAUACUCGCUGUGUAAAUCGUUACUUAAAUGGAUAUUCGACUAUUUCAGUUUUAGAAAGAAGCCAUACUCCAUAAGUUUGGAGCACGACUUUUCUAAUUUCAAAAACAAUGAACAUUGCCACGAUUUGAAAAUUUUACCUUUUUUGUGCAACGUGCAAAAAAAACAAACGUAAUACUUAAAACGAUAUGCAUUUUACUUAUUCGGGCAUAAUAUACACGUGGAUAAAUGCUUAAAUUUAACGUAUGAUAUGGUGAUAGCGAAAUAAUAUAAGAUUGCCUAUGUGGGUAGAUAACAAAACAAAUAAAGUAACUUAUUUGAAAAUAAAAAAUAAAAAAUAAAAUGAAAGGGAAGUAUAAGUAAUAUCAAAUUUAAAUAUUUAAAAUAUAAAAGAAUAAUAAAUAAAUAGGAAAAAAUUAGAAAUAUAAUAUUAAAUAAAUAGGCAAAACAAAUAAUGUUAAAUUUAAGUAUUUAAAAAGUAAAAGAAUAAAUAAAUAAAUAAAUAAAUAAGUAAUAUUAAAUUUAAGUAUAUGAGAAAUAUACUUAAAAAUAAAAAAUAAUAAUGACAAUAUACAUAAAUGAAAAGAAUAUAAACAAUAUUUUUUUAAAUAUAUGAGAAAGAAUAAAGAAAGAAUAAAUAAAUAAGUAGAUAAAUAUAAAAGAAAACAAUUUAAUAAAGAUUAAAAAUAAAGGACUAAAUCGAAAUUUAAAUGAAAUUAAGGGCAUAAAUUAGAAAAAGAAAAAGAAAUAUAUAAAUAAAUAGGCUAAUAAGGACUCAAAUGGAACACGCUAAAAGAGACAGGGACCGAGUGGGAAAAUAUCCCAAACUUUCCUAUGCGCAUCAUUUAAAAGGACCAAAAUAAAAAAAUUUAAAAUUUAAGGGGAUAAAUUAAAAAGAAAAAAAGAAAUAGGACUAUAUUGAAAAAUUCUUAAAAAGUAGAAGGACAAAAAGCGCAAAUAUCCCCCUUUUUAAAAAAAGCCAGAUCUUGAGGCCGGUCGGGUCGAUAAUUGUGUCGAUCUUCAAAACGACGUCGUUUUGGCGUCUGUGACUUAAGCCCAAAAUUACGUCGUUUUGAAGGGCUAUAUAAGUGAAAAAAUUAAUUAAAAAAUCACUUUUGUCUGUUAAAAAAAACUUUUCAGCCUUUUUUUUCUCUCAGUCUUCCCCACUCCGGCCACGGCACUUGCGAGCUUCUGCCGACGGCCAUUGGUCGCUAAUGACUGCUCUGCCAUUCCCAGUGGCCGAAAAACCUAAAAUGCCCCUUUUGCUUAUAUUUUUUGUAGAACUCCGAUUUGGAGUUAAAACUACCAAAAUCAAAGCCAAAGUUCCAGAAAAAUGAGAAGACUCCUCGGCUCCAGUGGCAGAAAACAACCACCAAGUGAGAUUUUUUUUCUUUUCUUUAUAUUUUAUCUUUUUAUAUAUAUAAAAAUACAUUCAAAGAAAAAAGGAAAAGAAAAAAGAUCACCUUUGAAUUUUUUUCGAUUGCUUUGUUUUUUUUUUAUUUCUAUUUUUUUGAUGAAAAAAAACCACAUACAAUCGAUUUUUGUAAGCUUUUUAUAGCCAAAUUACAACAUUAUUUUUCUAUUUUUUUCUACUGUUUGCUACUGUUCUUGCAUGUUUUUUGCAAGGGUAGUUGACGAAGCAAUUGGUGGCAGGUGCUAGGAGCGGCGGGCAAAGGCUAGGGUGCGCUAGGGUUUUUGUUGUUUUUUUUUUCUUGAAAAUUGUUUAGUUUGUUGGGCCAUUGGGCCUUUAAUUAGACUUCAAACUUUUCAUUAUUGACGUGACAUUAAUUUAUAUUUAUGUCACAUUUACAAAUAAUUUUAAAACUAUAAAAAAAUAUUCAAUAAAUUAUAAACUUGACAAGGAAGUUGGACAAAGUCUAUGGAGUAACUUCAAGUCCCAUGAUAUGACCUGCCAAUUAAGAUUUUUUAGGUCUUUAAAAUGAAAAGAAAGGAAAAUGAAAAUUUUAGAAAACAUAUAAUUUGAUUAAGAUUUUUAUUUUUACAUUUAUAUUUUGGUUAAAUCAAAUCAAAUUUUAAUUUAUAAUUGACUAAAAUUAUGCAAAUUGUUCAACAAGCUCAUGCCCGAAGUCAGUGAGGAUCUAAAUAAACGUAUCAAGGAACUACCUAUAUUAGCACAUUUAGUGAUGUGAUCUGCAACACCAAGAGUUUUUGGGAUAUGUCGGAUACGAAUCUCCCAUUUCCAACGCAAUACUUGAUGUAACAGCCACAGUUCCACUAAAUUACUACUAGCUCCUUCACCAGACAAAAACAAUUCAACCAACAAAGCAUUAUCACACUCAACUUCAACUUUCCGAAAUCCUUUAUCCCAAGCUAAGAAUAAUACUUCCAACAUUGCUCUUGUUUCAACUUUAAAGACUGACUCAUAUUUAAUUUUUUUUAAAUGUUUAUAUUGUGAAUUGUGGGUAAUAUUUUUAUAUUUGUGUGCUCAUAUUACAUUUCAUUUUCAUAAGAUUAUGAAGGAUAUUGAAGUUUUAGUUACAUUCUAAUACGAAUUUCAAUCAUCCAAUUGAAUUUGCUACUUUCUUUCUCUACCUAACGUGGAAUUUAGCAAGCUUUAAAAUUCCUCAAGUAGCGUUGAUGAAGUCAAGUCAACAAAGUCUAUGGAGUAAGUCUCACUCCCUCGGCAUGCUCUGUUUACUCGCUGAUAUUUUCUUCAUUAUAUACAGUAAGCAAAGAAGAAAAACCAUCACUAAUAUCUUUUCAAUUUAAUAGCUUUCAUACCAUUUUCAUUAAUAAAUAUUAUCUUUUACUCCGUUGAUUGUGCUUCACUGAAUUUUUCAAUAAAUAUGAUUGAUGGGGUUUUUUAAAGGUAAAUUUCAGAUAUAGGAAGGAAAAGGAAAAAGAAAAAGAAUGGCAAUGUUGGGCAUGAACAAAGGAAAGAAGAUGGAGAGAUCAAAUUCAUCACAAAGCUACAAACAACUCUAAAAAUAAAAUAUUAUUAAAUAUGUUAUUGAGGUUUAUUAUUAAGUAAAAAAAGCAAUGAUUAAAGUUAGGGGUGAAGCCAAAACAACUUUUCAGAGGGGCCGAAUGAAAUUUUAAUUUUUUAUAGUCUAUAUCUUUAUAACUUUUAAAAGAGUAAAUCGAAUUUUUAUAAUUUUAGGGGGUCAAAAUGUAAUUUUACAUUUAUUAAUUUAAAAUUUUAAAAAAAUUAAGGACUUAAAUAGUAAUUUUAUAUUUUAAGGGGGCCGUGCCCUUGCCAGCUGCCUAGAUUCGCCGCUGAUUAAAAUUCUUGUCAGAUGUUUAUUUGGUACGGAUUCAAACCAUAUUUUCCUUAUCCCUUACCUUUAAUAUUAUAAUAAAAAAAAACCUAUUGCAGCGUCAAAUUUUCUUCCAUGUCUUAAUGAAUUAGUUAAUCAAAUUUUACUCAUAUUCGUUUAGAUUUUGCUAAUCAAAAUUAAUUAUUGUUUUAAAUGGUUAAAUAUAAACACAUUAUAAUUGUCGGAACUAUAAAAAUGCUAACAGGUUACGAUAUAUUUUAUUUUUUUAUGUUUAUUAAAUGCACCUUAUUGUACUCUUUAACCCAACAACAUUUUCAUUAUUGACAUACAAUUAAACACAAUCACACAUCAUGAAAGCUCUAAGUUCAAAAAAUUGAACAAGCUUGAAAUGCUAUUCAGUUUUGCAAAAGGGUCUAAACUCGAAGUCAAGAUCGAUUGAUUCAUGUAAUCCCUUUUAAAAUAUAGCAUUUAAUAGAUUUGAGAUCGAAAUCCUAUAUAAUCAAUUACAUACACAAACUUUAUUUAUACAUAUUUUGUUUUUCAUCAAACUAUAUACCCAUAGUAGCCCAAAACACAUAUAGUUUACCAUAGACAUUGUCCAGCUUUCGAUAGUAUGCAUGCCUCCAAGACCUGAUGAAAAACAAGGGAGCCACUACACCCCAAAAUCCCAUUACAAAGCCAAGAACUAUGCUGACAUAAAGCCAAUUCACUUUACUUCCUUCACUGUUACUUCCAUUAUUUGCUACAUCAGUUGAAAAACCUUUUGAGGAGCAAUUUUUAGUGAGAGGAGGUCCGCAAAGAUGAUUGCCCACGUAAGACAAGCUUUCAAAGCUUUGAAGCUGAGUGCUUGUUGGGAUUUGCCCUAUCAAGUUGUUGUAAGACACAUUGAAGUGAUUCAAGAAAUUCAAUUUGGAAAAACUUGGAGGGAUUUCACCAUUCAAUUGAUUCCUCGACAAAUCAAGAGAUUCCAUCAACUUCAUGUUGCCAAUUUCGUCCGGUAUAUUUCCUAUUAGGAGAUUCCCUGAUAGAUUUAAUGACCGUAGCUCAACGAGACUUCCAAGUUCUUUUGGGAUCUCUCCAAUUAGUCUAUUAGUUGAAAGGCACAUGCUCGUAACAAGCCCUAGUGUGGCACCGUAUUCGUCCUCUCGUCCUUUCAGCACCAAUAAUGCACUCAAAUAAAGGAAAUUAGUACUGAUACUCGACCACUGAAACAUAUAGCAGUGCUGGUUGCUUUUGUUAGCCAUUGCACUAAAAUUACUAAAACAUUUUGGAAUAGCUCCUGAAAUGUUGUUAUGGCCAAGGUCCAAGAUCCGAAGAGAUUGAAGUUGACAAAUUUUUUGAGGAAGGUGGCCAUCAAAGUUAUUCGAUCGAAGGCUUAGAAUCUCAAGUUUUGAGAGCUUGUCCCCAAUCCAUGUUGGUACACUUCCACUGAAAUGAUUGUCACUAAGAUCAAGCAUAAUCAACCUCGUAGAAUGUUGCAACGUAGAUGGUAAUUCUCCAGACAUGCCAUUGCUACGAAGGUUUAGCACUAAAAGAUUUAAAUGUCCCAAAGAAGGUGGGAUUUUUCCGGUCAAUUUGUUGUUUUCCAAAUUCAAGUAACCCAAACCUCGCCAAUGAUCCCAGCAAUCUGGGAUUUCUCCGGAGAGAAGAUUUGUUUCAAUGGCAAGAAUUCUCAUUGGUCCCUUUCUUAAUGAAUAACAAACUAAUUCAACAAGCCGGCCUGAAAAUGAAUUAUUUGACAAAAUUAAAAUUUGUAAAGUUGUGAAUACUCUUGGUAAUGGGCCUGUGAAUCGGUUUGAACUCAAGUCAACAAUUUCUGUCACGUUCAAAUAUGAAAUCCCUCCAGUAAGUUGAUUACAGGAAAGAUUUACAUAUUCAAAUUGAGUGGACAAGUUCAAAAGCCAAGUGGGCAAGAUAUCCGAAAUUCCUGCAUCCGAGAUAUCUAAAACAGAUAAAUUCUUUUGGAAUUUUAACCAUCGAGGAAACUUCGGGCCAAGAUGCCAUUGCCCCAAUCUGAUAAUUCGGCAUUGAAACGGGGGAAUCCAGCUUGAGUUUGGUUCAAAUCUCAGCCUGUUCUGUGAUGCCGCUAGAGUUGUCAAUCUCCUGAGAUUAGAAAAAUGGGUUUCCGACACAACUCCUUCCAAUUGGUUACACCCCAAAUCCAGAGUUUCCAAACUUUUCAGUUGGCCAAAACAUAGAGGAAAAGUACCAUUUAAUUGAUUUUCUGAAACAUUAAACAACUUCAAAGAUGAUAACUCCCCUAUGGACAAUGGAAUGGGACCAGAAAUAUUGUUUCCAGCAAGCGACAAGUGAGCUAGGUUUUUAAAAUGCCCAAGUUGAUCAAUUAAAUGGCCAAAAAGAUGGUUAUGUGCCAUAUCCAAUGACUCUAAGCAAUCCAAACAACAUCUAGACAGACUCAGAAGGAUUUGUGAUAUGUCUUGAUCAAUUUCAUUGCUCGAAAGAUUAAGGAAUUGAAGAUGAUACAAACUAAACAAAGAGGUGGGUGUGGAUGAAUUGAGUGAGUUCCCACUAAGAUCAAGAACUUCAAGAAGUGAGAUGUUCGUAAAAUAAUCUGGAAUUGGGCCUUUCAAGGAAUUGCCACUAAGAUCAAUGGACACAAGAUCAUGAAGACCAAAUAUCGACAUAGGUACUGAAGAAAAGUUGUUCUCAGAAAGAUCAAGAACAACCAGUGAUUUUGUAGAAUUGACACUGAUCGGGGAUGCAUCAUCUUCCAAACUGCAAGCUGACAAGUGCAACUCUAACAAUGAAGGAUGUUGGAAUGUUACCUGUAGCCAAUCUGUUGCUUUACUAAGAUCCGCAUGACUCAAAUCAAGGUACUGCAAGGAAGAAAGUCCGGAAACCCAUUGAAGGCUUUUUGGUUUGAGAUCAUUACCUCCAAGAUCAAGAUACUGCAACUUUGAAAGAUUCCCCAGGUUAUGAGGAAUUGCUCCCUGGAAUCGUGCUUGAGAGAGGUUAAGAUAUGAUAAACUCUCCAGCAAACCGAAAAACUUCGGGAUCUGUAUGCCGCUAAAAUUGUUAUUGCUCAAGUCCAGGGAACUGAGAUGCUUCAACUCCAGCAGUGAAGGAUUUAUUUUGCCUCCUAGCAGGGAAUUGUUCUUUGAUCGAUGGUAAGCUUCCCAUUCAGCAACUGGUGCAUCAAAAUGGGCCACUGAAAGAGGAGCAGCCAAGUGCAGUUGGUUGAUAUGGCCUGUUGAGUUAUGGCACACGACACCGAGCCAUUUACAGCAACCCCCACCUUCAACCCAAGAAGACAACCUGUUUGAAGGGUCAACGAGAUCAUUCUUGAACUUCAAAAGGGCUUUUCUCUCACUUUCAAAGCAAAGCACAUUGGAAUUGGCAUCACAAAAGCUAAAACAGUUAGCUAGAAUGACAAGAAGAAAUGGGAAUAAGGUAAUUGUAACACUUUUCAUGGUUGCGAUGGUACCAACCAUUGGUUGCAACUCCAAAUAUAUAGAGUAAGCUUAGUAAAACAAAAGUAUUGUGCACAUACAUCAAGCAGAAAGAAGUUUCUUCCAAAUUUCCACAAAAUGUAUUUAAUUAAUAAUAGUCUAUCAGAAAUUUCCAGUCAAAUAUAAACACCACUUUAUCCAAAAUGAAAUUACAUAUCCAUAGUGCUGGACUGAGAUAGAGUAAGCUAAAACAAAAACAUUGUCCACAUCAUAGGCAAGGAACUUUUUUUCAGUACCCCAAAAUUCCAACAUGAAUUUUCCAAAAAGAAAAAACUAUAAAUUUGUCAAUUUUAAUAAAUUUGGACAGAAAAAACAAAAUAGAAUUAUUAAUUGUUCAUGCGAGAUGCAAUGUUGAUAUGAUGUCACAUUAUUAAUUUAUUCCUAAUUAUAAAUAAUUUAAUAGAUUUAAUCCUCUACUUUUACAAAUUCUAUUAAUUUGAUACGUAAACACAUAUAAUUAAAUACAAAUAUAAUUAAAUAAUUAUUAUAUAUUAUGAAAAAGUAUAAAAUGUAAUAUUAUUUACAUUAUUUUAUAUCAACACAUACUCUGUAUCUAAUACUUACACCUGAGUCCAAUAACAUGAUCCCAAACAAUAUUAUUAGAUUAGUGACUUGUGCUUUCAGGAAUCAAAGAACGAAAAAGCAAAAACAACAUAUAGUGACUGAAAAACACAAAUAACCACACAAUGAAUGAUGAAAGACUCUACUAAAUUUAACUUGCAAAAAUAAGAACUUCAAUUAAAUUCUUUGCUUUUAAGAGAUUAGUGUGUUGUUAAGCUAGUUAUGAAGCUUGCUAAAGAAUGUGAUUUUGAGGAGAUUAAGGUUAACAGUUCAGUAAUUCUUGAUGCUGAGAAAGCUAAAGUCACCAUGUUGACAACAAAAAAGUUUACAGAAGCUUCAAUCAUCCUUAGUUUCGUGCUUAUAAAUUUCGUAUUUAAUAAGGUGCCUUAAAAAUUUUGCACUGAUUAUAUAUAAUAAUAUUAUAAUUUUCCUUAAAAUAGAUUCAAAUAAUAUUAUAUAUUUUACAUUUUUAUAAUUAUAUAAAAAUUAUUUAAUUAUAUUUAUAUUUAUUUAUAUGUAUUUAAGGAUCAAAUUGAUAAAAGUUAUAAAUAUAAAAAACUAAAUGUGUCAUUAUCCAAUUAAAAAAAGACUAUAUCUUCACUUUGGUGACCAAACAUAAAUUUUUCUUCACUACCCCAAAUUUCCAGCUUAAAUUUUCCGCAGAAAAGCUAUAGAUUUGUCAAACUUGAUAGAGAAAUUGUUCACGCGAAUAAUUCAUAUGUAUUUCAUAAUAUUUUGAAAUUAUAUUAUUUUAUAUCGAAAUGAUAUCAUAAUAUUAUUGUAUUUUAUAUUUCAGGUAUUUAGCGAAAUAAAAUAAAAUUAUAAUCAAUUGAAUGUUUCUUUUUGGGAAGUUCUAAUUAAUUGCUUUAAAAUUUUGAUAUGUCGAUAUUUAAUAUAUAUAAUAUGAGAAAUAAAUAAUUAUGAUUACGUUACAUUUUUUAUUUGAAACACAUAUUUACAAUUUGAGAAAUUUACUCUUUUCUUCCUUGUCACCUGUAAACAAGAGAAGAAAAUAAGGAAAAACUAGGAGUAACGAAGGCUAGCUUACCUGUAAAGAUCGAGAGCUAGAAUAAGGACAAGAAGACAGACCGAUUAAGAGGAUAAGUGUUUAGAGUAACUCAGUCCCCUUGUCUAUUGGUAUGAUAUGACUAAAUAAGUAUUCAAUUUUGUUAAAUGUGUAAUGGAUAACCAUAGGUGCAUUUAAGGGAUUCUAUUAAUAUGAGGUAGUCAAGCUUAAAUAGACUCCUUAAUAUCUUGAAAAUAUGUUCAAAUUAGGAUAGUGUCCUCUUUUAAGCUCGGGUGAUCCUACUUAAGAAGUCAAUAUAGAAUUAACCAUGCUAUGCUGACACUUCGUUUGUUUUAGUUGAAUAUUGAUGAGUCUUUGUCCUAUUUGGUUGCUUAGAAGACUUAAAAUGGCAUACUUGUGUAAAGAUAACGAUGAAUCAGUCAUCAUCAACCUGUUUACUAUAUUACUUAAUUUGUCAAUAAAAUUGAAUUGUAGUUGGCUUAUGAUUGGAUGGGUUUUGUCUUUCUUUGGGACAUAAAUUUCAGUCACUGUGCAAUAUGGGAUAAGAUACCUGUUGAUUAUAUUACCUAAUUUGUAUGAAAUUGAACUGUUGUUGGCUUAUGAUUGGAUGGGUUUUUCUCAUUGGGAGGUAAGUUUCAGUCAUUGUUAUAACAGGAUUUUGCUUCUUAGACCUGGCACACACUUACAUGUUCUUUUUGCAUUUCAUGAAAAAGUUAAAUUAUCUAAUUAAAUUGAUAAAAUGUGUAAAUAUAGAAAAUUAAAUGUGUCAUUAUCCAAUUAAAAAAAGACUAUAUCUUCACUUUAUUGACCAAACAUAAAUUUUUCUUCACUACCCCAAAUUUCCAGCUUAAAUUUUCCACAGAAAAGCUAUAAAUUUGUCAAACUUAAUAGAGAAAUUGUUCAGGCGAAUAAUUUAUAUGUAUUUCAUGAUAUUCUGAAAUUAUUUUAUUUUAUAUCGAAAUAGUAUCAUAAUAUUAUUUUAUCUUAUAUUUUACGUAUUCAACGAAAUAAAAUAAAAUUAUAGUCAAUUGAAUGGGAAAGUUCUAAUUAAUUGCUUUAAAAUUUAAACAUGUCGAUAUUUAAUAUAUAUUAUAAUAAUAUGAGAUUACAAUAAAGAGAAAUAAAUAAUUAUUUUCACGUUACAGUUUUUUUGACACAUGACAUUUGUCAUUUGAAACACAUAUUUACAAUUUGAGAAAUUUACUCUUUUCUUCUUUGCCUUUUAAUUUUUUAAGUCAUUCCAUACUUUUUUUUAUUUUUUUCUUAAUAAUUUUUUUGUUAAAUAUAUAAUUUAUUUUAAAUAAAUUAUUUAUUUAUUUUAAUACCUUACUUAAUUGAAUUAAAUUUUAAUGUUAUCAUAUUAAAAUUAAUGAAUAUUAAUUUGUUAAGUUUAAAAUAUAGUUUUAAAAAAAGAAACAUAUUAAGAAUAUUUAUUAAAUUAAAUUUUUAUUUUUCAAAUAUAAUAAGAGUUAAUUAUAUUAAUUGAUUAAAUUAGAAAAAAAGAUAAAUAUAAAAUUACAAAAAAUUUGAAUAUUAACAAUUUUGACAUUAAAAAUUAAUUUUUAACAAUAUAUAUAAUAAAUAAUAGGUAAGAAACUAUUAAUAAUAUUAUUUAAAUUAUAAUAUAUUAAUAUUAAUAUUCAUGAUGAAUUUUUUGUAUUAUUUUAAUAUUAAAUAUUUUUAAAACCUAACUAAUUGCAAUAUAAUUAAUUCUAAAAUAAGUAGAUAUUUGCCUUUGUUGAUACAGAUCGAGAGCUAGAAUAAGGACAAGAAGACAAACCGAUUAAGAGGAUAAGUGUUUAGAGUAACUCUAGAGUGUCCCAGUCCAUAGUUUUUCAAGGUACUUAUAGGAAACGUCCCCUUGUCUACUGGUAUGAUAUGACUAAAUAAGCGUUCAAUUUCGUUAAAUGUGUAAUGAAUAACCAUAGACACAUUUAUAGGAUUCUAUUAAUAUGAAGUAGUCAAGCCUAAAUAGACUCCUUAUUAUCUUGAAAAUAUGUUCAAAGAUCCUACUCAAAAAGUCAAUAUAGAAUUAACCAUGCUAUGCUGACACUUUAUUUGUUUUAGUUGAAUAUAGAUGAGUCUUUGUCCUAUUUGGUUGCUUAGAAGACUUAAAAUGGUAUACUUGUGUAAACAUAAUGAUGAAUCAGUCAUCAUCAACCUGUUUAUUAUAUUACUUAAUUUGUCAAUAAAAUUGAAUUGUAGUUGGCUUAUGAUUGGAUGGGUUUUCUCUUUCUUUGGGACAUAAAUUUCAGUCACUGUGCAAUAUGGGAUAAGAUACCUGUUGAUUAUAUUACCUAAUUUGUAUGAAAUUGAAUUGUUGUUGGCUUAUGAUUGGAUGGCUUUUUCUCUUUGGGAGGUAAUUUUCAGUCAUCGUUAUAACAGGAUCUUGCUUCUUACACCUGGCACACACUUACAUGUUCUUUUUGCAUCAUGAAAAAGGUUAAAUUUUAGUUUUGAUCCUUUUAAUAUGCUUAAAUUUAUAACAUAUAUGUAAAAGAAGUGGAAAGGACCUUCCUUGACAUCACUUACAUGUUCUCUUUUUCUUUUCUUUUCAUAAAAAAGGUUCAAAUUCAGUUUUGGUCCUUUUAAUAUGUUUAAACUUAAAAUUUAGAUCCAAAGGACCUUCCUUCUAACACGUGGCACACACUUACAUGUUCUCUUUCUUUUUUAUUGCAUUUCAUAAAAAGGCUAAGUUUCAGUUUGGUCCUUUUAAUAUGUUUAAAUUUAAAAUUUAAUUCAUAUAUUUUAAUUUUUAAUAUAAUUUGAUCAUUAUAUUUUUAAUAUUAUUAAUUUAUACUUUUUUUUGCAUUUUUACAUUAUAAUAUAAUGGUCAAAAUUCAAUUUGGACAUCUAUAUUAUGCUGAAACUUAAUAUUUAAUAUUCUAUAUACUUUAAUUUUUAUUUAAUUUGAUUCUCCUACUUCUAUAAUGUCGUUAUUUAGUCUAAAUAGUUAAUUUUGUUAACAAUUUCAAUCAAAAUGGUAUCGUCAUUUUUUCUUAAGAACACUACAACAAAAAUAUUAAUUUAUCAUAAUGAGUUUGAAUGGGUACUUUAAAAAAAAUAUAUUGAUUGCUAUUUUCAAUAUUAUUUUCUUGUUACAAGAGUAAUAAGAGAACUUUCUUUCUUCUUCUUUUUUCGUUUCUAAAUGUCACACUAGUAAAUUUAGUAGAUGAAUUUUAACACAAUGCUGAUUAUCGCACUAAAUUUUUAAAUUCAAAAAAUAAAAAGACAAAAUCCUUAAAAAGGGGACUGAAUUCCAAAUGUGCGAUAUGUAUAAAGACUUAAAACUUAGUUUAAUCUUUAAAUUUUUACUUCAUAAUUUAAUAAAACAAUUCAUCAAUCAGACGCAAAGCGUUAAAACCAUCUAGUAGGAAAAAGAGAAGAACCAUGUUGGGUUUGAACAAUGGUGUUGUUGAGAUGGACCAUAUAAAAACAAAGAUCGCGGUUGUCAAUUCAUCAAUAGGGCAAGAUUUAUUUUUAGAUUUAUAAUGUCAACUUUGUCAAUUUCGUUCUUGCCUUAUUGCCCUCUUUAACACAAUAGCAUCUUCACUAUUGAAAUACAAUAAAGCAAAACCAUACAAUACAUCAUCAGAGCAUACUUCCAAUAAAUUAUACAAGCUCGAAAUGUCAUUUAUUCUUGCAAAAAAGGGAAAGCAUGAAUAAGUAUCGAGUACUAUGAUGACAUAAAGCCAAUUCACUUUACCUCCUUCAUGGCUACCUCCAAUAAUUGUAACAUCAACCAUAAUAUCCUUUGUGGUGCAUCUUUUAGUGAGAGGAGGUCCAUGUAAGAAAAGUUUUUAAAGCUUUGAAGUUGAGUGCUUGUCGAGAUUUGUCCUGUUGUAGAUCAAGUUGAAGAGAUUUUAGAAAUUUAAAUUAGAGAAAUUUGGACGGAUUUCAUCGUUGAUUAAUCGACAGAUCAAGAGAUUCCAUUAACUUCAUGUUGCCAAUGUUGUUUGGUAUAUUUCUUAUUAGGAGAUUCUUUGACAAAUUUAAUGAUAGUAGCCCAACUAGAGUUUCAAUUUCUUUGGAGAUCUCUCUUGUGACAUUAUUAGCUGAAAUGUCUAUGCUGGUAGCAAGUCUUGGUGUGGUACUCUAUUCAUCUUCUCAUCCUUUCAACACCAAUAGUGCACUCAAAUGUAUUUAUGUCCCAUUUUGAUAAUUCAAAUAUAGAAAUAAUUUCGUUUUAACAAGACACGAACCGAGCAACAACUUUCACAAAAAAAAAAAUUUUAAAUUAGUACCUAACUGAAAGUACAUAAAUUUUAAUUCAUAAAAUAUUAUAUAUUACAAUAGUUAGAGAUUGUAUAUGUAUUUUCUAUUGAUAUUAGGAUUUAAAUUUUAUGCUAUGCUUUUAUUUAUAUUUAUAUUUUAACUUUAUAUUUUAUAUUAGUAUAAUAUAGUAAAAAUUAUUUUAAUCAUAUUUCAACAAAAAUUAUCAAAUUAGAUUAUCAUAUCAUAAUUUAAUAAUCGCAUGAGAGGUCAAAAGUAGUGCAUAUAAAAGAACAAAGAAAAGAAAACCUAACCAACAUCACUAAAUAUAAACACGUCCUUACAUUUUCAUAAUUUCCUAUUGUUUUAAUCACUACAAUAUAUGUAUAAAGGUUUAUAUUAUGCUUUAGUUAAAUUACACCCAAAUUCACUUUAAAAUAUGGUUUUUCAUAUUUUGAUCAUUUUAAAUUUUUUUAAUUUAAUCACUCUAAUUAAGAUAAUUAUUUGAAUUAAUCACGACAUUAAAAAUUCUAUCAAUUUAAUAAAAAAUUGUUAAUCUGACAUAUUAAUCAAUUGAAAGAUUCAUAGGUCAAUUUUUUUUUUGACAAAGCUUACAUACCUCUGUAUGAUUAAUCAAAACAUUUUUUUUUCCUUUUAUCUUCUCUCCAUAACUCAAAAUGGAGAAAUCAAAAUAGGGCAUCUCAAAGCUACCUAUGUUUCACCAUUCUUUCAACAAUAAAUCUAUGAUAACGGUUAGAAUUAAGUGACCCGAAUCCUUAUUAAAAUAAAGUACAGUGGUAAAAUAAAAUAAAAGUAAAAUCCAUAUAGAACUAUACUUUUAUUUUAUUUUAGAAUAAGAUUUUUCAACUUUAUUACACUUCAUCUAUUGAUAUUGAUUAGAAUUAGGUGUUUAAAUCUUUCUACACUCUUUUUAUUAGAAUAUGGUUUUACAAGCCUAUAAAUAGACACCUCUUCUUGUAAUUAUUCGAAUUCGACAUAGCGAAUUAUCUUCUCCCCUGCCUGUUGUUUUUUCUCAAAAAGGAUUCCACGUAAAAUCUGUUUGUUCUUUAUUUUUAUUUUUACUCUUUUCUUUAUGAUGCAUUGUCAUUAUCAACGUUAUAUUUAUCACAGCAACUAUCAAGAAUAACCCACCAUACAUCCACAAAUAAUUAAGGAGGAAUGAACAUAUAUAAAAACCCCAAUCAAAAUCUACACGAAUCUGACGGUCAUCAAGGAUUGUCCCACUAAUGUAAUUAACAACAUCCUCUGCAUCUUCCCUAGAAUGAUUCCUGAUGGAAAAUAAAAAACCCAAUAACCAAUUAAGAGCUUUAAAAUAAAUAUUAACAUGAUUUAAAGGAGGAAAACAAGAGAGAGAGAGUUACAAGACAAAGCAAAAGCCACAAGGUGUUUUAGAGGUCUUGUUAAGGCCCAUGUUUAUUUUCUUGAUUUCACCGGAUGUAGAGAAAAGCUCAUAAACUUGUUCUUUAGUAGUGUAAAAAGACACGUUUCCGAUGUAGACAGUUGUCGAAGUGAGGAGUGCUUGCUCGAAUCCCUCUUGCGAACCAUUAAACCUUCCGUCUCGGUACGCUAAAAGCUUAGCUGAGUCCUAUGAUUUAACAAACCCCCCAAAAAAGAGAGAAAAAUUAUCAUUUAACUGAUGUACAUUGAAAGCAAUUAGGAAGCAAUAAGAAAAGAAAAUAUCUUGAACAGAGAAUCCAUUACCUUCUUCAAAAGCUCCCAAAAAUUCGAAUUGCCUGCAUAUAACGAAUUAUAAAGGUUGAAUUUCUUGCCCUUGCCCUAUCCAUGCCAUAGAUCCAUUCUUAUUUAUAUAUGUUCACUCUUCUUUAAUUAUUUGUGGAUGUGUGGUGGGUUAUCCUUGGUAGUUGCCAUAGAUCCAUUGUUGAGAAACUGGUGAAGGGCAUGUAGCUUUGAGAUGCCCUGUUUUGGUUUCUCCUUUUUCAGCUUCGGAGAGAAGAGAAAGGGGAAAAAAUUGUUUAGGAUUAAUUAUAGAAAGGUCCCUCAGCUUUUGUUAAAAGUCAAAGGAAAGUAUCACGUGUUAUCAUUCAAUUGGCUAAUAUGCCACAUCAACAAUUCGUUAGUAGAUCAAUAGAAUUUAAUGGUUGUGGCUAAUUCAAACAAUUAUCUUGAUUAGAGUGAUUAAAUUGAGAAAAAAAUUAGAGUGACCAAAUAGGACAAACCUUAUUUUAAAAUGAUCUCGUGUGUAAUUUACCCUUAUACUUUUAUGGGCGUCCAAAAUUACUAAUUUUUAUUUUUGAGAGAAAAGAAAUUCAUUAAUGAAAAAAUCACAAAACAGAAGCAAACACAAAGAGGAGAUGGACUACUAAACUCGAGCCAACAGGCUCACCCCAUACACCCAAACUUAUUGUCCGCAAUCCUCAUUCGUAUCAACAUAAGACAUAAUUUUAAAAUUCUUCAAAAAAGAUGCAAAGGAACCCUUUCCGUGUGGUUUGCAUGUAACAAAACCGCUCACGCAAGUGAGUAGGCUACCUUGUUGGCACACGACGGGUCCAAAACAAGGAUAGAUGCUAAAACUAAUCUUUCAGCACCAAACAAUCAAGUUGCAGCACACCUAACUCAGAUGCAUCAAUGAUACAUGCUUUUUUCCCAUCAAACUACAUACCCAUAGUAGCCCAAAACACAUAUAGUUUACCAUAGACAUUGUCCAGCUUUCGAUAGUAUGCAUGCCUCCAAGACCUGAUGAAAAACAAGGGAGCCACUACACCCCAAAAUCCCAUUACAAAGCCAAGAACUAUGCUGACAUAAAGCCAAUUCACUUUACUUCCUUCACUGCUACUUCCAUUAUUUGCAACAUCAGUUGGAAUGCCUUUUGUAGUGCAGUUUUUAGUGAGAGGAGGUCCGCAAAGAUGAUUGCCCACGUAAGACAAGUUUGCAAAGCUUUGAAGUUGAGUACUUGUUGGGAUUUGUCCUGUCAAAUUGUUGUACGACACAUUGAAGUGAUUCAAGAAAUUCAAUUUGGAGAAACUUGGAGGGAUUUCACCAUUUAGUCGAUUCAUGGCCAAAUCAAGAGAUUCCAAAAACUUCAUGUUGCCAAUGUUGUCUGGUAUAUUUCCUGUUAGGUGAUUCCCUGAGAAAUUUAAAGACAAUAGUCCAACGAGACUACCAAUUUCUUUGGGGAUCUCUCCUGUGAAACUGUUAACAGAAAGGUCCAAGUUGGUAACAAGUCCUAGUGUGUGACCAUAUUCAUCCUCUCGCCCUUUCAACACCAAUAAGGCACUCAAAUAAAAUGGGUAAUUAAUGAAAUACAGCGUAGAAAGUUCAUUUUUGGUUUUGUUUGUUGUGGCCAUUGCACUUAAAUUAUUGAAGCAUUUUGGAAUAACUCCUGAAAUGUUGUUGUGGGCAAGGUCCAAAUUUUGAAGAAAUUGAAGAUCACAAAUUUUGUGAGGAAAAUGACCAUCAAAAUUAUUUGACCGAAGGCUUAGAACCACAAGGUUUGAGAGCUUAUCACCAAUCCAUGCUGGUACACUUCCAUUGAAAUGAUUUUCACUAAGAUCAAGCAUAAUCAAAUUUGUAGAAUUUUGCAUUGUGGAUGGCAAUUCUCCAAACAUUCUAUUGUUUCGAAGGUUUAACGUUGAAGGAUUUGUUUGUCCCAAAGUAAGUGGGAUUUUUCCUGUUAAAUUGUUAUUUCCUAAAUUUAAAUAAGCUAAAACAUCCCAAUGAUUCCAACAAUCUGGAAUUUCUCCAUUGAGUAAAUUUGUAUCAAUGUAAAGAGUUAUCAUCCCCGUUAAUGAUGGAUUACAAAUUAAUUGAUGAAGGGAUCCUGAAAAUGAAUUAUUUGACAAAAAUAAAAAUCUCAAACUUGAGAGUACUCUUGGCAAUGGACCUGUAAAGCUGUUUGAACUCAAGUCAACAAUGUCUCCCACAUUCAAAUACGAAAUCUCUCCUGUAAGCUGAUUUGAGGAAAGAUUUAAAUAUUCAAAUAGAGUGGGAAGGUUCAAAAACCAAGUGGGCAUGACAUCUGAAAUUCCUACAUGGGAGAUAUCCAAAGACGAUAAAUUCUUUUGGAAUUUUAACCAGUGGGGAAACUUUGGGCCAAGGUUCCAGUGGCCCAAUUCAAUAAUUCGACAUUGAAAUGGGGGAAUCUAGCUUGAGUUUGGUUCAAAUUUAAGCCUAUUGUGUGAUGCUUUCAAAGUUGUCAAUCUGGUGAGAUGACAGAAAUGGGGUUCUAAUACAACUCCCUCCAAUAGAUUAUACCCAAAAUCCAGAGUUUCCAAACUUUCCAGUUGUCCAAAACAUAGAGGAAAAGUACCAUUUAAUUGAUUUUCUGAUACAUCGAAGAACUUCAAAGAUGAUAACUCCCCUAUAGACAAUGGAAUUUGACCAUUUAAUUGAUUUUUUGAAACAUCAAAGAAUUUCAAAGACCAUAACUCCCCUAUGGAUGAUGGAAUGGGACCAGAAAUUUUGUUUUGAGCAAGGGACAAGUAAGAUAGAUUUUUAAAUUGUCCAAGUUGAUCAGUUAAAUGGCCAGAAAGUUGGUUAUCUGCCAUAUCCAAUGACUCUAAGGAACCCGAACGACAUCUAGACAAACUCUGUAGGAUUUCUGAUAUUCCACCUUCAAUUUUAUUGUAUGACAAAUCCAUCUCCUUCAAUUUGCACAGAUAUUCCAGAGAGGUUGGUAAUCUUCCUUCCAACAUAUCAUUAUGAGAAAGAUCAAGAUGAGUAACAGAGCUGAAGUUUCCAAUGGCACUCGAGAUUGUUCCUUGUAACUGGUUAUCACCAAGACUAAGGAACUGAAGAUGGUAUAAACUGUACAUGGAGUUGGGUAUGGAUGAAUUGAGUGAGUUCGAACGAAGAUCAAGAACUUUAAGAAACGAGAUGUUCCCAAAGUAAUCUGGAAUUGGGCCUUCCAAAGAAUUCUCACUAAUAUCAAUGGACAUAAGACCAUGAAGACUAAAUAUCGACUUAGGUACUGAAGAAAAGCGGUUCAAAGAAAGAUCAAGAAUAACCAGUGAUUUUGUAGAAUUAACACUAAUCGGAGAUGGAUCAUCUUCCAAACCACAAUUUGACAAGUGCAACUCUAACAAAGAAGGAUGUUUGAAUGUUACCUGUAGCCAAUCAGUUGCUUUAGAAAGAUCCGCACCACUCAAAUCAAGGUACUGCAAGGAAGAAAGUCCAGAAACCCAUUGAAGACUUUUAACUUUGAUAUCCCACCGGUACAUAGUAUCACCACGAAGAUCAAGAUACUGCAACUUUGAAAGAUUCCCCAGGUUUUGAGGAAUUGCUCCCUGGAAUCCUGCUUGAGAGAGGUUAAGAUGUGUUAAACUCCCCAGCACACCCAAAAAUUUCGGGAUAUGUAUGUUGCUAAAAUUGUUAUUGCUCAAGUCCAGGGAACUUAGAUGCUUCAACUCCAGUAGCGAAGGAUUGAUAUUCCCUCCUAGCAUGGAAUUGUAGUAAGCUUCCCAUUCAACAUAUGGUGCGAAGAAAUCAGGCUCUGAAAGAGGAGAAGUCAAGUGCAGUUGGUUGACGUGGCCUGUUGAGUUUUGGCAGAUGACACCAAUCCAUUCACAGCAAUCCCCACCUUCAACCCUGAAGAUAGCCUGUUUGAAGGAUCAAUAAGAUCAAUCUUGAAUUUCAAGAGAGCUUCUCUCUCACUUUCAAUGCAAAGAACGUUGGAAUUGGCAUCACAAAUGCUAAAACAGAUAGCAGCAAUGAGAAGAAGAAAUUGGAAUAAGGAAAUUGGAAGAGGAGUUGUCAUGGUUGCAAUUGCAUGCUACCAACCAUUGCUCACAACUCCAAACUAAUAGAGUAAGCUUAGCUAAAACACAAAAAUAUUGUGCACAUACAUCAAGCGCAAUGAAGUUUCUUCCAAAACCCCAAAUUUCCACAAAAUGCAUUUAAUUUCCACAAAAUUUACUAUCAAGGGAAAAUUUCUAAUUAAUUGCAUUUAUUUUUCAACAAAAUGUAAUAUGAACUUCUAUUACUAAAAUAAAGAAAUGUUAUAAAACCCAGUCAAACAAAAUGGAUGCCGUGGUCCCUUAAUCAUUUCUUCAUGCAUAAAACAAUAUUAAAUAAAUUAUAAUAAAAAAAUCUAAAAUUAUAAUAAUUAACUAAACUAUAUCACAUCUAAUCUCUUAAUGGACCUACAAAACGAGGAGGAUUAGUCAUUGGGUUCGCUCAAAUAGAUAUCGCAUAUAAGAAUUUUUUAUCUAUUUUUAUUUUUUAAAUUUAAAGAAUUUACAUUUUUUAAAUUUUUUAAAUUUCUAAAUUUUUAUAUAUUUUUUGAAUUUUUAAAUAUUUUAGAUUUUUUAAUUUUAAAAUGUGACAUAUAAGACAAAAUAAUAUCGUGUAUACAUUCAAUACUUGUGAACUAUCACACGAGGUGUCAUUUCAGUGCUUGGCAUCCAACAUUAGCUACUUAACGGCUCCAAUUUUGUAAAGGGUAAACUACACCCAAGAUCACUAAACUAUUAGUAUGUUUAUGUUUUGAUCACGCAAUUUUAAAAUAUUUCAAAAUAAUCACUAAACUAUUUAAAAGUUUUCAUUUAAAGCCAAAAAAAAAAUCAAUUCACCAUUCAAAUAUAACCCUUAGUUUCUAUUAAAAUGAAUGAAAUUACAUAUCCAUACUAUUAUAGUAGCAAUUAGAGCUAAUCCUGGGUCGGGUCUCAAUAAAAUUUUAGGUUCGUUUUUUGGCUCGUUUUUUGGCCCGAGCUCGACUCAGCCCAAAAAAUGGGCCUAAAAUUUGUUCAAUCACGUCCCGAAUUAUAGAAGCCAAGAUCAAGCCCGGCCUGGCCCAUAUUAAUUUUUUUAGAUGAUUUAUUGUAUACAAUAAAUUUAAAAAAUAUAUAAUAUAUCAAAUACACUUCAAAACAUUAAAACAACAAACAAAUUAAAAAUACAUUAAAAAUUCUGUAACGCCCCAAAUUUUGAACAUAUGUUUGAUAAAUUCUAUCAAUAAAUAAGUCUCUGUAUCUGUAGUUAAGUGUUCUGUUUAUGUGUUAGAGAUCCGGGUUUGAGUAUUUCUUCUUAAAUUUUUACGGUCUAUUUUGGUUCAACCCCUAUUCUUAAACUCCCGACUUAAGUUUAUUUUUACGUUAAUCUGUAUCAAUAAUGAGCCUGCUAGUUCAAUGGUUGAUAAAUGCCAAAAGUAACAUGUUUUAGCCUCAUUCUUAAUGCAUUUUUGGAUGAUUAUUCGAUUUAAAAAUGUGAAUUUUAUGCUCCUAAUCCUUUAAAUUCAUGUUUAUAUACUUAAGAGAGCAUUUGGGAGCAAAAUGAGCAAAACUCGAAAAAUCGGAGCAAGUUUUAGGAGCCACAUGGCCAUGUCUCAGACCAUGUGGAAAUCACGAAUUACACUUCAAAAAGUAAAAAAUAUAUAAUUUUUAGGCUUUUUGGGCAUUCUAAAACCUAUAUAUGACAAAGAUAAGAAGAUGAGAGAAAACUGUCAUUAAAUGGUUUUUGGUGUUGGUUUUUUUUUCCUGAAAAUUGUUUAGUUUGUUGGGUCAUUGGGCCUUUAAUUAGACUUCAAACUUUUCAUUAUUGACAUGACAUUAAUUUAUAUUUAUGUCACAUUUACAAAUAAUUUUAAAACUAUAAAAAAAUAUUGAAUAAAUUAUAAACUUGACAAGGAAGUUGGACAAAGUCUAUGGAGUAACUUCAAGUCCCAUGAUAUGACCUGCCAAUUAAGAGUUUUUAGGUCUUUAAAAUGAAAGGAAAGGAAAAUGAAAAUUUUAGGAAAACAUAAAAUUUGAUUAAGAUUUUUAUUUUUACAUUUAUAUUUUGGUUAAAUCAAAUCAAAUUUUAAUGUAUAAUUGAUUAAAAUUAUGCAAAUUAUUCAACAAGGUCAUGACCGAAGUCGGUGGGGAUCUAAAUAAACAUAUCAAAGAACUACCUAUAUCAGCACAUUUAGUCAUGUGAUUUGCAACACCAAGAGUUCUUGAGAUAUGUAGGAUACGAAUCUCCCAUUUUCGACGCAAUAUUUGAUGUAGCAGCCACAGUUCCAGUAAAUUAUUACUAGCUCCUCCAGCAGACAAAAGUAAUUCAACCAACAAAGCAUUAUCACACUCAACUUCAACUUUCCGAAAUCCUUUAUCCCAAGCUAAGAAUAAUACUUCCAACAUUGCUCUUGUUUCAACUUUAAAAACUGACUCAUAUUUAAUUUUUUUUAAAUGUUUAUAUUGUGAAUUGUGGGAAAUAAUUUUAUAUUUGUGUCCUCAGAUUACAUUUAAUUUUCAUAUAUGAUUAUGAAGGAUAUUGAAGUUUUAGUUACAUUCUAAUACGAAUUUCAAUCAUCCAAUUGAAUUUGUCACUUUCUUUCUCUACCUAACGUGGAAUUUAGCAAGCUUUAAAAUUCCUCAAGUAGCGUUGACGAAGUCAAGUCAACAAAGUCUAUGGAGUAAGUCUCACUCCCUCGGCACGCUCUGUUUACUCGCUGAUAUUUUCUUCAUUAUAUAAAGUAAGCAAUCAAGAAAAACCAUCACUAAUAUCUUUUCAAUUUAAUAGCUUUCAUACCAUUUUCAUUAAUAAAUAUUAUCCUUUAGUCCGUUGAUUGUGCUUCACUUAAUUUUUCAAUGAAUAUAAUAGUUUUUGGCUUAUGAUUGAUGGGGUUUUUUAAAGGUAAUUUUCUGUCAUUGUGCAAUGCAUGUGGGAUCAGAUAUAGGAAGGAAAAGGAAAAAGAAAAAGAAUGGCAAUGUUGGGCAUGAACAAAGGAUCAAAGAAGAUGGAGAGAUCAAAUUCAUCACAAAGCUACAAUCAACUCUAAAAAUAAAUUAUUAUUAAAUAUGUUAUUGAGGUUUAUUAUUAAGUAAAAGAAGCGAUGAUUAAAGUCAGGGCGAAGUCAGAACAAUUUUUUAGAGGGGACUGAAUGAAAUUUUAAUUUUUUUAUAGUCUAUAUCGUUAUAAUUUUUAAAGGAUUAAAUCGAAUUUUUAUAAUUUUAGGAGAGGCCAAAGUGUAAUUUUACCUUUACUAAUUUAAAAUUUUAAAAAAAACUUUAAGGGCUUAAAUAACAAUUUUAUAUUUUAGAGGGGGCCGGGAGCCUUCCCAGCCCCCUAGAUUCACCACUGAUUAAAAUUCUUAUCAGAUAUUUAUUUAGUACGGAUUCGAACCAUAUUACCCCUAUCCUUUACCUUUAAUAUUAUAAUAAUAAUAAAAACCCUAUUGCAGCGUCAAAUUUUCUUCCAUGUCUUAAAGAAUUAGUUAAUCAAAUCUUACUCAUAUUCGUAUAGAUUUUGUUAAUCAAACUUAAUUAUUGUUUUAAGUGGUUAAAUAUAAACACAUUAUAAUUGUCGAAACUAUAAAAAUGCUAACAGGUUACGAUAUAUUUUAAUUUUUUUUUAUGUUUAUUAAAUGCACCUUAUUGCACUCUUUAACCCAACAACAUUUUCAUUAUUGACAUACAAUUAAACACAAUCACACAUCAUGAAAGCUCUAAGUUCAAAAAAUUGAACAAGCUUGAAUGCUAUUUAUUUUUGCAAAAGGGAAAACAUGAGUACUAAAUCUAAACUCGAAGUCAAGAUCGAUUGAUUCAUGUAAUCCCUUCUAAAAUAUAGCAUUUAAUAGAUUUGAGUUCAAAACCCUAUAUAUUAAUUAAUUACAUACACUAACUUUAUUUAUACAUAUUUUGUUUUGGGUAAACUACACCCAUGGUCACUUUUGUUUAUCUUAGGUUACGUUUUAGUCAUUUACGUUAUCAUGUUGUAACAUUUUAGCCACUGAGCCAUUAAUCGUCGUUAAUGGUGUAACGGUAAGCUGACGUGGCACGUUAAAUCAUCAUUUCAAACAAAAUUUUAGGUUAAAUUAUACAAUUGAUCCCCAUAUUUUUUCAGUUUUAAGUAAUUUAAUUUUUUUAUUUUAUGUUCUUUAAACUUUUCUCUUUUGUUUCUCCCUCUGUUUUCAUAUCUUUCCUAUCUCUUUUAACAUAUUAGGAAGUCAAAUUGGCAGUGAAAAAAGAAGUAGGAAGUCGACUAUCAUCAUUUGCCUAUAACCAAAACCCUAUAACCAAAACCAUGCUUCUUUCUUCACUACCAAUUCGACUUCCUGGUAUGUUAAAAGAAAUAAAUAAGGUAGGAAAACAGAGGGAGAAGCAGAAGAGAAUGAAAAAUAAAGAAAAUAAAGAAUGAAAGUUAAAAGAACAUAAAAGAAUUAAAUUGCUCAAAACGAAAAAUUAUGGGGACCAAUUGUAUAAUUAAACCUAAAGUUUUUGUUUGAAUGAUAAUUUAACAUGCCACGUCAGCUUACCAUUACACCAUUAACGACAAUUAACGGCUCAGUGACUAAAAUGUUACAACACAAUAACGUAAGUGACUAAAACGUAACAUUUCAAACAUAAGUGACUGAAAUGUAACCUAAGGUAAACAAAAGUGACCAUGGGUGUAGUUUACCCUUUUGUUUUUCAUCAAACUAUAUACCCAUAAUAGACCAAAACACAUACAGCUGUCGACCAACAUGAUCCAACUUUCGAUAGUAUGCAUGCCUCCAAGACCUGCUGAAAAACAAGGGAGCCACUACACCCCAAAAUCCCAUUACAAAGCCAAUAACUAUGCUGACAUAAAGCCAAUUCACUUUACUUCCUUCACUGUUAAUUCCAUUAUUUGCUGCAUCAGUUGAAAUACCUUUUGAGGUGCAAUUUUUAGUGAGAGGAGGUCCGCAAAGAUGAUUUCCCACGUAAGACAAGCUUUCAAAGCUUUGAAGCUGAGUGCUUGUUGGGAUUUGUCCUAUCAAGUUGUUGUAGGACACAUUGAAGUGAUUCAAGAAAUUCAAUUUGGAAAAAUUUGGAGGGAUUUCACCAUUCAAUUGAUUCCUCGACAAAUCAAGAGAUUCCACCAACUGCAUGUUGCCAAUUUCGUCCGGUAUAUUUCCUAUUAGGAGAUUCCCUGAUAGAUUUAAUGACCGUAGCGCAACGAGACUUCCAAAUUCUUUUGGGAUCUCUCCAAUUAGUCUAUUAGUUGAAAGGCAGAUGCUCGUAACAAGCCCUAGUGUGGCACCGUAUUCAUCCUCUCGUCCUUUCAGCACCAAUAAUGCACUCAAAAAAAGGAAAUUAGUACUGAUACUCGACCACUGAAACAUAUAGCACUGCUGGUUGCUCUUGUUAGCCAUUGCACUAAAAUUACUAAAACAUUUUGGAAUAGCUCCUGAAAUGCCGUUAUGGCCAAGGUCCAAGAUCCGAAGAGAUUGAAGUUGACAAAUUUUUUGAGGAAUGUGGCCAUCAAAGUUAUUGGAUCGAAGGCUUAGAAUCUCAAGUUUCGAGAGUUUGACCCCAAUCCAUGCUGGUACACUUCCAUUGAAAUGAUUGUCACUAAGAUCAAGCAUAAUCAACCUCGUAGAAUGUUGUAACGUAGAUGGUAUUUCUCCAGACAUGCCAUUGCGACGAAGGUUUAGCACUGAAAGAUUUAAAUGUCCCAAAGAAGGUGGGAUUUUUCCGGUCAAAGUGUUGUUUUCCAAAUUCAAGUAACCCAAACCUCGCCAAUGAUCCCAGCAAUCUGGGAUUUCUCCGGAGAGAAGGUUUGUUUCAAAGGCA